GGGCGGUAGCUCCAGCGACGGCGAAAUUUACUCCUUGAGUGAAAGAUGCGCCUCUGUCUAAAUAAGCAUUGAGGAAUGAGAGUUUGAAUGAUUGAGAAAUGAAAUCGGUGAUAACGCGGCCGUUGGAGAAGCGGCCGGUGGGUCUUCUGAAGAAAGUUUCACCGUAAGGGGAACGGUCGGAGCGGAAGAUGAUGGAAGCGCCGGGAGUACGGAUGACAUUUCCGGCGUCGGCGAGGGAGUCGCCGAGUUGGUAGACGGAGUUAACGUUGCAUUUAGUUUGGGCAGAUGAAGGAGAAAAGAAGAAUAAUGUGAUGAAUAAAAGGGAUAAGGAAAAUUGGGUAAGAGAAAGAGUCGCCAUUGAAGAAUGUUUUUUUGCUGCAAAAUGGAAUCCAUUCACGUGCUACUUAUAGAAUGGUAGACCCUGUUUGGCCAUGUGAUAUAAAAUUAUAUCUAAAUAUCAAAUUUUUGUUUGGGUAUGCGAUAUUGAUUUGUAAGUUGUAUUUUUAUACUUAUAAAUAUAAAAUUUUCAUAAAUUGUAAAAAUUAUCAUAAUUGUCUUAAUUUUCUUUAUGUAGUCUUAUCGAAUAAGCAAAAGUUCGUACAAUAUAAUACACUAUAGUAAAAUUAUUUUUUAAAAUAAAUAUAUGAUAUUUAUUGAUCGAAUUUUAGCUCAAUAAAAAAGUAAUUUGAAAAUGAGUUGUAGUAUGUUACUCUUUAAUAAAACUGAACAUGGUCAAUAAUUUAGGGAUAUGUGUUGGUCGGUUCCGUUUGAAUUUUAUCAGUUUUACUUAUUGAUUAUCGAUUUGUAGACAUGCUAAAUCAUUAAAAUAUUGACUUAUCGACUAUUGAUUUAUCGGUUAUUAAUUGUUAUCGGGUUAACCGUUAAGAUUUGACACAAAAAAAACAAUGAAAAACACUUAGAAACAAGGUGAUAAAACAAAUGAACCACGCAAAUAAGUUCACAUAUUGCAUCUUUACUCAAAAGCAAACGCUUUUAUAUUGUAGAAUAACCAAAAGUUUAAAAUUACCAAAAAUAAGGUAUAAAACUAACUCUAAGUCAAGGAUUUUAUAUACAAAAUGAUAUAUAUAUAUAUAUAUAUAUAUAUUAUAAAAACCCCUAAACCAAUAACUCAUUAAAGAUAAACCAAUAACUAUUUUUCGAUUUAGGUUAUCAAUAUCAAUUCAAUUUUAAACAGCCUUAAUUAAUAUCAUUAGUAAUUAUAUUCAUAUUUUGUGAAUUUUUCAUCGCUCCUUUGAUAUUUAUUGAAUCAAAGGCAAAUAUGUAAAAACAAAAUUCAACAACUUUUUAAAUUUUUUAAAUAAGUCAAUUAUUUUGAACUAUAAAAACAAUGUCAAUAAUUUCGUUGUGUGUCAGCUGUUGAGUGGCUGGUUGUCACUUUAAUUUGUUUUUUUUUCUUCAUUUAUGGUUUUAGUUUUAUUUAAUGACAAAAAUGAUUAAACCUUUUGGCUUUUUGACUGGUAAUUCAUUCAUCAAGUGCUUCAAAAAUAGAAUCUAGUAGUAUUAUUUUUACCUGAAGGAGUACCUGUGGGUCAAAUCACAUUUUAUUUUCUGUCUCAAAUUUGGUAUAUCGAAUUUUUUAAUUUGUUUUAAAAAGAAUGAUUUAUUUAUUUUUUUGAUGGUAUUUUAAUUUUAGUUUUCCACAUAAUAUGUUUAAAAUUAUAAGAUUAAAAUUAUAUAUUUUUAGUAUAUUUAGCAUAACUUUAGCUUAGGACUAUAAAAUUAAAUUUUUUUUUUAAUUUUUUAAACUUUAUGUUAAGUCAAAUUAGAUCAUUCUUUUUUAAAAGGAGAAAAUAGUAUUGUUUUAUAAAAGAAUUAACUGAAUUUGUACGAUGUCGUUUUAGAAACUACUCCUACAUGAAAAACUACUAAACAUACUUAUUAAAAAUAAAAUUAGAAGUUAUAUUUCCUUUGAUUUUAAAAGAACGAUUUUUUUUUUAUAAGAAUCAAAGGGUAACUGAAAGAAAUAAGAAAAUAUAUGUGAAAUUAUCAAAAUCUAAUCAAAUUUAUUCGCAACAAAAGACUUUAUUGCUUUACAUUUCAAUUGAAUCCAAUCAAAUAAUAAUAAUUCGAACUCAAUAAAAAACGAAAAAACCUAAUUGAAUCUACCAAGAGGAUAGCUCGAUGGUUGAUUAAGCUAGAAGAAGUUAACACAAACAGUACUGGGAAUCCACCCUAACCAUACAACUACAAUUACCAACUAUGAACUACACUAAUGCUAGGCUUGAUCUAGAAACUACAAGUUUCAAAGCUUUCUAAUAUUCAAUUGAUCAUAAUCUUCGUAAUCGAAGUUUUCCAAAAUAAUAAAAAUUAUUAUUUAUAUUAAGAAAAUUAAGAAGGUACUUCUUUGACAAUUUUACCCUUAAUGAGAUAAGGACCUUAUUUGGUUGUCUUCUUUCUGUAAAUUCUUGAAUUUAUGAGAGCGUCAUUUGCAUACAUGAUCACUUUCUUCACUUUGAUGGAUCUUCAACACAUUAUAUGUCUUUAUUUGGUCUCCAGCAAAUUCCUCUAAAAUUUUCAUAUGAUUUAUGCUAUCCAUGUCGUUAUCAUUUUUUAAUCUGUUAAAAAAAAGAUAUUUUCUUGCAACACUUUAAAAGACAUUUUGAUACAUGUGACACAACUUUAAUUUAAAAUCAUAAAGUUAAAAAAAAUCUGUACUUUUUUAGAAUUUGUAUCAAAUUAAACUAAAUCAUUUUCUUCUAAGUAAAAGUAAAUAAUUUUAUGUGACCAAGAAAAAACCACUUGCACUUGUCCCUAGGAGACUUUUGUUUCCUAACGGGUGUCAUUUUGUCCCAUCUGGGCAUAUUGCUAAAAUGAAGCCCAACACAACCUUCAUCAACUCUAUUAUUAAAACGCGUAAAAUAGAAAGUGAACAACUAAAAAAGAAAUAAAUUACGUAUCUUGAGCAUAUUUCAAGGAGAAUACAUCUUAAAUAUUUACUCUUUUUAUCUCUAAUUAUUUGUCUUUUUUUUUUUUAUAUAGUUGUCCCUAAUUACUUGUUCAUUUUGACAAAUCAAGAAAAAAUAAUUUUUUUUACCUAUUAUACCCUCAAUUAAAUAACUAAUUACUUUGAAAAAUGUAAAACUUUUCAUCCACUUCAUAAUUAAUAAGGGUAAAAUGGUAAACUAAUUAUGUCAAUAAUUGUUUUCUUAAUAGGUGUGGCAAUUUAAUCUAAUAAUAGGCAAUAAUGCAUUUCCGAUGUUUUUUUUUAAGGUGAUCUUUAUUUUCAUUUAAGAGGAAUUUCUUAAAUAGCAAAUUUUUCUAAUUGCAAACUUGAGAUUAAUGGUUAUGCAACAUAAUAGGAGAAGAUGAUAGUGAUUUUUCAUGAAAAAGAAUUGUAUUUGAAGUGAGUCAAAUUAAUUUUAUAUAAUGGGUUAAUAUUGGAUAAAAAUGGUUCUAAAAAAGAAAAAUGUAUAAAUUUCGGUUAAAUUUUUUGUUUUUAUCAUCACUUUACACCUUAUUGGAAAUAAUGUGCAUAAUAUGAUAAUUAUAUUAUUCAAAAAUUAUUUUAGAAAUAUAUAUUUACAAGUUGGAUAACCAUUCCAGGAAUCCACUUUAUUUUAUACUUAAAAAAAUGCAGGUGUCGGUGAACAUAUUUCCAUUUUCGAAAGUAAAACAGUUUGAGUUUGAUCGAUAAUUUGCACAUGAAAUCUUCAUUUUUUUUUUUAAAAUAAAAAAUAUAUAUAUUUGUAAACUACGUAAAAAGUACUAUGACUCACAAUAAUUGACAAUCCAAUAUAUUUAUAAGAUAUAUAAAAAAUUUACAAUCAAAAUUAAAUUUAUUUAAAUCUCAUAAUAAAAAAUAUGUCAUAUAAAUUAGAACGGAAGAAGUAUAUUAUUAUUAUUUUAGUAAAAAGGAACUGUUUGCCAACAAAGAUUGUGCUUUAAUAAUUGAAUAUGAUAAAAUGCACACAUUUCAGCAUAAGCACGUUGCUUGAGGAAGAGAGCCUUUCUUACCUACCACCUUUUGGUUGGAGUAAAGAUUGGUAGGUGGAAAAGUUUUGAAUUUGAAUUCAAUAUUUGCAAAAUAAUGCUUAUUUGCAUCCGUCUUAUAUUUGUUGAUUAUUUUUAUUUUUAUAUAUGUAUUAAAAAAUUAUAAAUAAGAAGGUAAUUUUUCGAACUAUUUCAUUCCUUAAAAUUUUAUUUUGGGAUUUUACAAAUAAAUGUGAACACUUUUAAAAUAAAUUAAUUGAAAGAGUAAUAUAGGAAGAAUUUAAUUAAUAUUUUUUUGACUUAAUAAGGUAAACAACUAAUAUAGGACAAUUAUUUUUAGAAAGAUGAUCAACUAAUAUUUUAGUUGUCAUAGUUUCCUUUAUUAUAAUCAAACAAUAACAACUUUUGACCAACAUUUUAUGAUGUAUUUUUCAUCAUAUAGAUAUGCAGAAAAUUGUAAUUUAUAGUAUUUUUCGUAUUUUGAAUAUCUAAAUUUUUUAAUUCAAAAUAUUGAAUUAAUGUAAUCUAAUUUAACUUUGAAAAUUAGUCAAAUUGACUUCGAAAUGCGCAACAAUGACAACUAAAAAAGAACGGAGGGAGUAGUAUAUUUUUAUUGGAUCAUAAAAUGAUUUCUUUUGGGAAAAAUAUAGGGUCUGGAAAGCAUCUUUAUAUACUAUACUACUACCUCUGUUUCAUAUUAGAUGAGUAUCUUACUAAAAGUAUUUGUCCCAUAUUACUUGAUCACUUAUUAAAUUAGGAUUGAAUUAAUUAAAUAUUUUUCAUUUUACCUGUCACACCCCAAGCCUACACCUUGAAGGUGGCCGACACUCAGAACCAUUGGUGGUCUCAAGUGAACCCUUGGUCUGACUGACUACUGAGCAAAACACUAUACAUACAUAAAGAAGUCUUAUAAAAUAGACAUUUAAAAUCAAUUAAAGAUAUCUAAUACAAAAGUUAGAAAUAAAUCUAAAUAUAAAUAAUGUUAAUAAGAAUAAUGUUAAAACUUCUCAAUGCUCAAGACUGAAUUGGCUCGCUAACUUUGUCUAUAUAUGAAGCCUCUACUAAUAGGUGUCAGGACAAGACCUACGACUAUCUGACUAUUUAACUAAAUGAACUAAAAAUCAAAUAAACUGAACUAACUAAAUUGGAGCCCUCCGAAAGUCAGGAGGUCUCAUCGAUGACAAAUGGAAAGAGAUCUUGUUGAACGCUUGUUUUACUCUAAAAUAUAAAUAAAAGAAAAAUGACUAAGUUUUUGAAAAAUCGAUUAAACUUAUGAUUUAAGAGAAAUCGAAUUUCCAAAAGGACAGAGUCACCACUUAAUUUUUAGUAAAAAUCAAGAAAAAACUUAAGGUUUUCAAAAGAUUUAAACAAAUAAAAUCAAUUGAAAAUAAAAGGGGUCGAAGUUCAAUGUACAUUCUGAGAAGGUGUUAGGCCCUCGGAAUGCCCGCUAACUUGCGGUUGACCGGCAAUUUGACUAAAAAUUAUUUUGAUUGAUUUUGAAAUUUUAACUAAAUAAAAAGACUCAUCACGACUUUGACUAAUUUUGAAAUUUUAACUAAGUAAAAGAACUCAUUUAUUUUAACUAUUUUUUUGAAAUUUUAACUUUGUAAAAGAACUAAUUUAUUUAUUGCUAUUAUUAUUUUUAUCAUUUUAUUUAUUUUAAGGGGGAAUGAACUAAAGGGGAAUUUUCUAAAGGGGAAAUAACUUAAGUGACAAGACAAAUAAAACUAAAGCUAAGUAUAGAACAGAAAUACUGUAAUUUAAAUAUAUAUAUAUAUAUAUAUAUAUAUAUAUAAUGAAAGACACAUCGAAUUUGGGCCUUUGGCCCAAAUUCACAAAUCUACUAAACCUGCAAAAAAAAAGAAGAAUUCAUUGGGCUUUUGGCCCCCUUUCCAUCCUCCUUGAUCAUGAUAUACACCAAGUGUAUAUUCGAUGUAUACACCAUGUAUACCGCUAAUUCUAGGACUCCCGGACCUGUGUUUUGUUUUAAACUACUUAAUUCUGCAUUUCUCACUCUGCAUUUUCACGUUUUGACAUGUAUAUCAUAUUUUCUAACUCUAUAUCAAUGUAUACAACAGGUAUAUUAGUCUAUUUUCGGUUUCCCGAAACCUCAAAACCCGAUUUCCAGCCCUGCAUUUCAACUUGUGCUUCUUUUGCUGACUGACUCGACAUAAUAGGGUUGUGCUUCAGCCUAAUUCGAGAUGAAGGGUGAAGGAGAGGAUCCGGUGGACCCAAAUCGAAGAGAAUCAUACAUAAAAAAACGAGAAUUACUAAUUAGUCAAAAUUGAACAUUCACUAAACAUAGCCAAGUAUGUAAAAAUAGUAAUAAGGUCAAUCUUUCACAAUAACCUUACAAACAUUCAUACACCAUAGGAGAUGAUAACAUUUAUUUUGGUGCACACCUAAUACUCAAUCGGAUGAAGUUAUGCAUUAAAAAGAUUAUCCGAAAUGGAGAGAAGAUAGCGAAACAUGGACCGAUUUUAAUGGAAUGAACACACUUGACCUUAACCCGACAUAUUUUACGCAACUCAACCUUAAUAAAACUUGUAAAACCUUCUAGUUCCAAAGAGAAAAAAAAAAUGAAAUAAAUAAAGAUUAAAAAUAAUAAUAAUUCAUUCUACUAAACCAAAACUAGGCAGAUCACCCCACAUUAAUUGAUCAUAUGUUUAAACAAUAAAUAAUCGCACGAGGAAGAAAUACAAUUAAGCUAAUCACUAGGAGCCCUCUUUAGGAUAUGUAUAUCUUCUAACACAUUUAUUCAAAAUAGAUGUGCAUCAAUAAAGCCAAGUAACCCGGCAAGAAAACUAGAAACAAACAUGAUCUCGCUACAUGAAUACUAUCAGGUAGCACUGCUGAUUUUGGACAUUAAGACCUACCAAAGCUCUAUCGAAAAUAUUUUAUUUAUUUUAUUUUAUUUUUUUAAUCCGGCCAAGAACUAAACAAGCUAGUCUUGGCCAUAUUAAAUAUUAAACUCCCAAGCUCAAAGCAUCAUGUAACAUUUAAGAAUAAUAGAUGAAAAUACAUAAUGACUAACUAGCUAGAUACAAGAAAAGAAAUGCCAAGAACACAUCGCCAACUUGAGCUAAAGGAAAUCAUGCAUAACACUCUAUAACAGACCAAAGACUUGGAAAGCAAAAAGAACAAUAAAGUUUCCCCCACUCUUAGAAAACAUUUCCAGUAUGUAGGAAGCAAAACUCAUGUUUAAAUAAAGACCCACAACCCGCAAACUUCGAGAGAAGAGAUUAACACCCAAAGAAAAAGAAGAACAAACUCAACCAAAGAAAACAGAGAAACAACAACACUAGAUACACAACGACUAAAACUUAAGUCAACAUUACGACUGAAUCAUGGAAAACGAUUAAGCACAUGCAUAUAUCAUAUUAAACACAUCAGCCAUCCAAUGGCAUCUAACAUCAAACAAGCAAACAACCACAAAGAGAGACUUUUACGACAUCGAAAAACAUCACAUCAAAAUAGAAGAAGAGACGAGGAGAACAUUAUGAAAGAGGAAGCGUUACCUUUCUCUGGGCAGCGACUAGGACAACAAGCUAGAAGGAGCAGCGAUCUCUUACACCAUUUCAAGACUUGAGCGAUAAAUCCGAAUAUCCGAAAUAUCUUCUAACAGAGCCUUUUUCAGAACCUAGAGCUUUUGUACACAAGUGUUUUGACUACUAAUUUUCGUGUUUUUCUCCAAAUUUCAACUAAAUAAAAAAAAUCCUCUCCCUCCCUACUGAAAUAGUAAAGAAUUUAUAUAGAAGGGAGCUAGGGUUCAAUUUUUUUUGGGUAAGAACAAGGGGACAAAAUCGGAAUUCCCAUCCAAUUCUAAAAUUCUAAAAUUCUUUCACCAUUAAGGGGAGACACCUUUUCUGAAGCUUUCUCCCCAUUCCGAAAGAGGAAAGGGAGACAGACGGCUUUGAUCGACCUCUCGUCCUUGAGUGCCGACGUGGAUUAAGCUCGUAGUGGCUAGGACAAAACAACAGUCUGCUAUAGUCGAAAGCACUGUACAAGAACAAUACUGGACGAGGAAGAAAACACCGUUUGGUACUGUGUAUCGCUGUUACUGGGCUCUCUUGGAAUUGGCGCUGAUGUGGUCAAUGUUUGUGAACGUUGGGGGGCUGUUGUUUGGCGUGUUGGACUGUUGCUGCUUAGCGUUGGAAAAGAGAUGGAUUUUUGGGUUUCUUUGUGAAGAGGAGUGGGCCGGGUCGAGAGAUGUUGUUUGGUGGGUUUGGAAUGCUUUAGAUGGUAGUAUUGUUGGGAAUGAGUUGUAUUACUCUUGAUUGUUAGAGUUGUAAUUGGGAAUGAGCUGGCAAUAGAGUUGGAUUUGAGGUUUGGCCAUAUGAGUUUAAAUCAUAGCCAGUUGGAAAUUAAAAAAUAUAGCCGACCUUAGUUAAUUAGGAUUAGCUCGGCUAGUAGUCAAAUAAGAUGAAUUAAUACAAUUAAUUUACGAGCUUCUUAAUCUUAACGAGAUAAAAAUAGCUAACUUAUAAAUUAAUUAAUUCAAAAAUAUAAACUAAUAUUAAGUGAGCUAAUUAACGGAACACUUAAAAAAGUAAAAUCUUUUUUUUAAAAAUGAUUUUUUGAAUGCUUGUAAGGAAUAUAAUAAUUACAUACAAAAAUUAUAUAAAAAUUUAUAUAUUGUUUUAAAAUUAGAAAAAUGACUAAAAUUGCUUCAAAACUUAAGAUAUAUNNNNNNNNNNNNNNNNNNNNNNNNNNNNNNNNNNNNNNNNNNNNNNNNNNNNNNNNNNNNNNNNNNNNNNNNNNNNNNNAAACUAAUUAUUUUAAAUCGUUUGAAAUUGAAGAAGCUCGAAAUGAUUAAUUUAUAUUUUGGGGUCCAAAAUUGGGUGUCAACAACUGUCCCUCGUUUGACUUGGAUUUGAUGAAAGAAUUUCGAGGCAAAUGAAAUUGACAAAUCCAAUUUUGACAGACCACAUCUUCAUCCUUUAGGAGAGGGACUUGGUACGGACUUUAGGAAUUAUGGCCGAACCCCAUAAAUGGGUUUCCUACAUAUCUCAGGUUAUAUGAGAAUUCAGGUCACUUGUAGUUCAAUACACUUGAUUUGAGGCACGAUUUUGAAAGAAUUCAAAAGUCAUCCCGGUAUCGGAUUAUGAAGAGAUCGGAAUGCUCGGGAAUGAGAUUUGAGAGUGAAUGUUGGAAUACAGCCGAGUUUUCAUCAUUGAUCCCGCCUACCUAUCCCCCAACUUAGGGAAUCAGGCUGCUUGCAGUUCGACUCGAUCGGUUGAAAAGGAAAUCUAUUAUGCUAGAUCACAUUUGGUUCUGGAAAAGCGACAAAGUAAGUCGAGUAUGAAAAAGCGGCUUGUAACCUCUUUGUCAUGAACGUGGCGCGCUUCACACCCAUAACCAAGAAUUUACAUGGACAUAAUUUCCAAAGCUUUUGGCGCAUUGUCACUCGGAUUGGAAAGCUGCUUCCGGUAAGCUAAAAUUUUCGGAUGCGAAACUGAAAACGACAAACACAAAGAAAAACCCGCAUGCCUUCUGAUAGGGGUGUGGUUUGAUUGUGGUGGAAGUCGCUCCUCUGCUCGUAUUCUAAGAGUUUGGCACUCCUCUUUGGACUAUGUCCCAGUUCACUGCUAAGAAAAAGUUUCACGUUGUGCUGCAUCCUUUUUGAUGUCGUCCGCACCUGUGGUUUGUUUUGGAGAAUUCAUCCUUUCGGAUGCUCUCGACAAGGACUGAGAUAAAACUCAUUAGCAUAAAAAUGCAAUUCAAAUGGGGGACAGUGUCUUUUACCGUGUUGACAGUUAAUUGUUCUCCUUGAACAUUUGACGUCAACUCUAUUGGGUUUGACGUGAAGCAAAUAAAGCUUAUGUCUCAUAUUUGCAAUAUAAUCUUCAAUGUACUCUUCUUUCGAUGUCAAAGUAAUAAAAUAGGCUGAUGUAAUAUGUUGAUAGUUCUCUUGAUGUCGUCUUUGCAAAAGAAAAUGAUGCAGUUGAUGUUGAUUCUUUUGUGAUGGGUAAAUUUGCGAUGCAUAACUCCUUCUCUUGCUAUGCAUGAAUCCUUCUCUUGCGAUGUAUGAAUUCCUUUCUCGUGAUGCAUGAAUCUUUUUUCCCCGAUGCAUGAAUCUUCUCUUGCAAUGCAUGAAUCUCUUUUCUCGCGAUGCAUGAAUCUUUUUCCCCGCGAUGCAUGAAUCUUAUCUUGCUAUGCAUGACUCCUCUGCGAUGCAUGAUUUAUUUCUCUUGCUGUGCACGAUUUCCUCUUCUUGCAAUGCAUGACUCUUUUCUUGCUAUGCAUGACUCAUCUGCAAUGCAUGAAUUAUUUCUCUUGCUGUGCACGAUUUCCUCUUGCUAUGCAUGACUUCGCCGCGAUGCAUGACUUCUGCACGAUGCAUGACUUCUUUCUCUUGCUAUGCAUGACUUUUCCGCGAUGCAUGAAUCUUUUUCUCGCGAUGCAUGAGGCUUGUCUUGCAAUGCAUGACUUCUUCCCCUCGCGAUGCAUGACUUCUUUUGAUGAUGCCAUCCCUAGUACCGAACGAAGAUAAUGCUUCACCGGACAACACAUGUGAUCUUCUGGGUAUCUUCUGGGUGGCGGUAUCACCUCAGUUGAUACUAUAAUAAAAAUGACCCUCGGAGUAGUGGUAUCAUCUCAUUUGACAAUACAAUAUAAAUGACCCUCUGGGUAGCGGUAUCAUCUCAUUCGAUAAUACAAUAUAAAUAACAUUCAGGGUAAGAAAUAUCAUCACAUCUAAUAAUAUAAUACAGAUAAACGUCUUACAGGCAUCUUUAGUUGUUGAAAGAUAAUAAUAUUGCUCUCUUUGUGGUUUUCGUUUGUUCCAUCUUCGAACAUAGUUGCAAUGUUCAUUACGAACCUCGCCUUAUUGAGAAUUUGAAUGAAAUAAUGUUAUUCAUAUUCCCAAAUAUUUGAUAUAAGAAACAUAAAAUAUUUCCUGCAUCCACCGAAAAAAUUGUCAAUUUUGGGGGAGCUCCUCACCCUUUUGACUUCUCCAUAUUCAUUGAAUAGAGGAAUAUGUUGAUUUUGAGGUAAACCUAUAAACCUGUAUCCAUAGAAAAAUUGUUAGUUAAAAGUGAACUGAUCUGUGUCGAUCUCUUCGGUUGUCUGCUCCUUAUUUUGCUAUCUCCUAUUGAUUUCUCCGAUCUCUCGCUUCUUGAUAGAUGAGAAAAAAUAUUUUUAUGCAAAAAUAAUUGAAACAUGGAGGAAAAGUUUUAAGGAAAAUAGAUUUUCAAAAGUAGUAUUUGGAAAAAGUCACUGCCAAGUGUCAUGUCAAGUCAAGCUUAAUGAACGCCUUUUGGAGUUGAUGCCUCGAGGUCCAUCUGAUUAUAUGUUGGGAAGUAUUCAAAGUUGCUCUAAACUUUCGAUGAAACUUGUUGAAAUUUUGAGGCCAUCAUCAAAAUUUCUGUCCCAGUUAACUGUCUUGGCUUAUCUUUAACCAUCGGUGAGCAAAUCAUGGAAUUUUUGAGAUCCUCUCAAAACAUUCUGUCCCAGUUGCAAAUCUCAAAGUAACUUCAGUGUUGACUUUGUUGGAGAGAUCUUCUUCUUGAGAAUUUUUGAGUCCCUUCCAAAAAUUCUGUCCAGUUUCUAUUGUAAAGGAAACAUAGAAAUCUUACGGGAGAUAUGAUCGAGCCCUUGUGGCGCCUACGUAUCCCGUUGAGGCAGAAAUCAGGUCGAACGUAGUUCCCCAUCUCGAGGAUUAACAAAAGUAAGAAAAUUACAGAGAAACCGACUGAGGCCGAUAUAGGCCGCCUAUGUAUCUCAUUCUUGAGAAUUCAGGUCGAACGUAGUUCAAAUACAAAAAAAAUAUUAAAAGGGGAUAAAGGAGUGACCGAGGCUAACAUAGGCCACCUACGUAUCUCAUUGUUGAGAAUUCAGGUCAAACGUAGUUCAUUACAAAAGGGAUAAAAUUUUAAACAAAGUGAUUACAAGCAAAUAGAACAAUUACAAAGAAAUAAUAGAAAUACAAACUGAAGCUUCACACAUAGUAUCUCUUGACAACAUCUGAGUUGAUAGGUUUCGGCCAUUCAGUGCCAUCCAUCUCCGACAGGACUAAGGCACCUCCAGAUAACACUUUACGAACCAUGUAGGGUCAUUGCCAAUUUGGUGCGAAUUCCCUUUGUACUCAUCCUGAUGAGGGAAAAUGCGUUUGAGAACCAACUGACCAAUCUCAAACAGCUACAACUUUCUUGGUGCGAACAAAAUCAGCUACAACUGGAACUCCAAACCUACAUAUCAAAUUGUUGCGAACAAAAUCAGCUACAACUUUCUUGGUCACCGACUUAUACGAAGCUGCUUCCACCCACUUGGUGAGGUAGUCAAUGGCAACCAAAAUGAAUUUGUGUCCGUUAGUGGCGGCUGGCUCUAUUGGACCAAUGACAUCCAUGCCCCAAGCUACAAACGGCCAAGGUGUAGCAUUGAAGGCCAUAUGGCGUAUCGACUUCUUCUGGUUGAACGUUGCGUUCUCAGGAUAAAUUUUGGUCUCCAAGUACUUCUUGAUGUCAAGAUACCAAGGUAAACCAUCUGGUUCCGCUUCAACAUGCGAACAAUGGACAGGCUGCUCCUUUACCUCUAUAUCCACCGGAUUAAUAUAACUUGUAACAGGAUGUUUGAUCAUUGAGGAAAUGGUGGCAAGAGCAUCGGCCAACUCAUUUUGUGUCCUGGGAGUGUGUCUGAACUCAAUCUUGCUAAAUCUCUUGCACAACUUUUGUAUAUACCGCACAUAUGGUGUGAGCUUUGGGUUCUUCACGGCCCAUUCUCCUUGAACUUGAUGAAUCAGUAAGUUUGAGUCUCCAAUAACUAGAAGCUCAUGAACAUUCAUGUUCGAUGGCCAUCUUCAAACCAAGGAUACAAGCUUCAUAUUCAGCCAUGUUGUUUGUGCAAUCAAAUCGGAGUUUAGCCGCCAUAGGAUAAUGUUGACCAGAUUCUGACACUAGGACCGCUCCGAUACCUUUCCCUUGGUGAUUUGCCGCUCCAUCAAAGAAUACUCUCCAACCAGGGUAGGCUUCAGAAAUAUUUUCACGCACAAAUGAAACUUCCUCGUCGAGAAGAUAAGUCUUGAGUGGUUCAUACUCCUCAUCAACUGGGUUCUCAGCAAGAUGUUCAGCAAAGGCUUGUGUUUUUAUCGCCUUUUGAGUCACAUACACAAUGUCAAACUCACUCAAAAGCAUUUGCCAUUUAGCCAACUUCCCAGUCGGUAUUGCUUUCUGGAAAAUAUACUUUAAUGGGUCUAUCCUAGAAAUAAGGUAUGUGGUAUAAGAAGACAAAUAAUGUCUCAACUUUUGAGUGAUCCAAGUCAAAGCACAACAUGUUCUCUCCAAAAGAGUGUAACGAGCUUCAUAUGGAGUGAACUUUUUACUCAAGUAAUAAAUGGUUCGCUUCUUCUUCCCAGUCUCAUCAUGUUGACCAAGCACGUAUCCCAAUGUGUUAUCCGAGACAGACAAAUAUAGCAACAAUGGGCUCCCUUCUCAUGGAGGAACCAAUACUAGUGGAUUGGACAAAUAGUUCUUGAUAGCAUCAAAAGCAGUUUGACAUUCUCCGAUCCACUUGGUCAAAGGGUCUUUUUUCAACAACUUGAAGAUCGGCUCACACACUACGGUGGACUGAGCUAUAAAUCGACUGAUGUAGUUCAACCUUCCCAGAAAACUCAUCACCUCUUUCUUGGUCUUCAGAGGAGGUAAUUCUUGAAUCGCCUCGAUCUUCGAAGGGUUAAGCUCAAUGCUCAUCCUGCUGACUAUAAAUCCCAACAACUUGCCAGCUGGCACUGCAAAAGCACAUUUGGCGGGAUUUAACUUCAAAUUGUAUCGACGCAAUCAAUCGAAGAAUUUCCUUAAGUGAGUCAAGUGAUCCGAACUCUCGCGGGACUAGAUUAUGACAUCAUCUACAUAUACCUCGAUCUCCUUGUGAAUCAUAUCGUGAAAGAUGGUCGUCAUAGCUCUCAUGUAAGUAGCACCGACAUUUUUGAGACCAAACGACAUCACCCGAUAAUGAUAUACAACCCAAGGCGUAAUGAAAACUGUCUUUUCUGCAUCUUCUUCUUCUAUCAGGAUCUGGUGGUAAACCGCAUAACAAUCCACAAAUGACUGCAUCUCAUGCUUAGAAAUAUUAUCAAUGAGAAUGUGAAUGUUUAGCAAUGGAAAAUUAUCUUUCGGGCUAGCUUUGUUGAGAUCUCUGUAGUCAACACAAAUUCUGAUGUUUCCAUCUUUCUUGGCAACCAGAACAACGUUGGCUAACCAAGUCGGAUACUGCGUCACUUCCACUACUUGGGACUCGAUAUGCUUCGUAAUCUCCUCUUUGAUCUUCAAACUCAACUCAGGCUUGAGCUUCCGAGUCUUUUGUUUUACUGGACUGAAAUCUGGUUAAUCGGCAACUUGUGGGACACCAUAUUUGUACUCAAUCCUGGCAUAUCUCUGUAAGACCAGGCAAACACAUCAAUGUACUCCCUGAGCAAACGGACCAGGUCUCUCCUUUGAGCUUCAGUUAGAUGGACACAUUCCUCAUAUCCGAGAUUCACUGUUUCGAUUUCUUCCAAAUUUGGCUUGUGUUGAUUCUCAAAUUGUAGAAACUCCUCUGCAACAUGUUCGGGUAACUCAUUUUCUUCUUCAUAUUCCUCGCACUCAUCAUCACCUGCCUCAUUUCGUUCACUCGAUUCAUGACAUGACAUGACAUGACAUUGGCAGGUUUUAAAUUAAUAUUAACUGAAAUCAAUAAACAAACAAAGUUAGAAAGUAAAAUAUAAACAGAUAAGUAAACAAACAAAUUUUGAUAAAAGAGGUUUUUCAUUUAAAUUGAAAGACAAGCACAAACUUUGGCCAUGGCCGAGGGCCAUUUUGUCUCUUUAAACAUCACAAGGGAAUUUAAAAGAUUCAAACAAAUAACAAUUGCAUAAAUGGUGGGUCUCGGGCCUCUUCCGGACUACCACCAAUUUUAAAACAAACAAAGACACAUGUCUUUUCCACCCAGAUGAGCCGGAAAUCAGGAGUGGUGUGGAGGUCCAGUUCUGCAAUCGUUCCUCAGAUUAUGCAUCACUGAUGCCUAAUGUCCCAGCCUCUUCCUCGAUGACCGCAUCAAUCUCCUCAAAAAGGCCCCAAAUUCCUUUCCCGAGACCACCAUCGUUGACAUUUUCUCGUACCGAAAAUGACUGGUACAGAUGAGGAACUGGCCUGGCCAAUGCUUGAUCAACAUUCUUGUUCUUCAUCUCUGCUUCAUCAGCAUCCGUGGGGACAUACCCCAAACCAAACUUUGCUCCUCUAGCAGGAAUUUGGACAGGCUCGACAAUUCCUUGAAAGUGCUUUCCCAUUCUGAAACCUGGUUCUAAACUGCUCUGGAGCAUGAUAGUAGCAAUCAUCUUGUACACAGAGGGUAUGUGAGGUUGCGGAGCCAAAUUAUCACCGGUGGCAUUUACCAACUCCACCGUGUAGAAAUCAUAACCUCGGGAAACCUGGUGAACGAUUGACGCAUACCCAUCGAAAUGACUCCCCCCACCAUGAAUGACCAAUUCCUGGUCCUUCCAAACAAAUUUCAUCAGUUGGUGAAGGGUAGAAGGCACAACCCCAGCCAUGUGGAUAAACGGUCUUCAAAGAAGCAAAUUGUAGCUAGUAUUGAUGUCCAACACCUGAAACUCCACAUUGAAUUUUGCAGGUCCCAUCUGGAUAUCCAAAUUUACUACCCCUAUCGUGUCUCUCUGCACUUCAUCGAUAGCUCUCACAUUGACCUGAAUUUGUUGAACCUUUCCCAAGUCGAAUUUCAGCAUCUUGAGAGUCGAAAGCGGGCAGAUGUUGAGACCAGACCCAUCGUCGACCAAACCACGAUUUAUAACUUUGUCCCGGCGUUUGAUGGUGACGUGCAGAGCUUUGUUAUACAUCCUGCCUUCAAAAGGAAGCUCUUCGUCACAAAAAGUGAUUCGGUGUCCUAGAAUGAACUGGUUUAUCAUAGCUGCUAGAUUGUUACUGUUAGUACCCACAGGCACAUAAGUAUCAUACAAAGCCCUCAUCAGAGCCUGCCUAUGCAACGACGAACUCAUCAAUAAGGCCCACAGAGAGAUCUAAGCCGGCGUCUUCUCCAAAUACUUCACAAUUGAAUAAUCUUUCGGCUGCAUUUUUCUCCAGAACUCCUCGGCCUCGGCUUCACUGAUCGGCCUUUUUGUUUGGUCCUUCUUCUGCACACCCUGGAUUAGCUUUUCUGGCGUGUAGCACCUGCCAGAUCUGGUCAUACCUUGGGUAACAACCGUUUCAAUCACAAAAUUUGGUCGGGCAAGAGUUUCUCGUGGCACCAAGGCAACAUCCUUCUCAGGUGUCAGAAUCACAAACUCUUUCUUCUCUCUAAUGCUCAAUGAGGCUACAGCCCUUUCCAGCUCAUCAGGAGCAAUCAGAACUAUUGCCUUUGUCACGCACCAAUCUUCAUCUGUCUCUAUCAUAUUGAUAGUGACGCCUCCAUGAUUUGGCAAAGGAUUACUAUUGACAUUGGGUGCGACUGUCUGAAGAGAGACUACGUUCUGGUCAAUUAGGUCGUGGAUCUUAUGCUUCAGUGUCACGACCCGGGAGCACCCCCUAGUCGUAACCGUCGUACUCGACCUCGAAGAGGUCUAAUACAAGCCUCUUAGCAUUUAUUCAUGGCAUAGACGCUAAAAAACCAAGGAAUUAAAAACUUUCUUUACAAAAAAAAGGACAUUUAAAUAAAAAAAAUAGCAAGCGGAAGGCUUUCUAGACUUUAUACAUGAUGUCUCAAAACCAUCUAAACUUUAGAGUACAAAUUUCGGGACUAAUCCCGUACACAACUCAAACAAUACAAAAAAGACAUAAAAGAACAUAUUGGGGGUUGUCCUCAAAUCUAUGAGGACUCACCAAGUCUUCAUCUUCAACACUUAGAAACCUAUCAAAGCCAUGACAUGUCAUCAUCUCCAAAUCCCUACACUUUAAUCCAAAAAGGGAAAGGGGUUAGCACAAUUAAGUACUAAGUAUGGAGACCAUGCAAAAACAUGCCAAAAAGGACAUUUUCAAAGAAUAAAUGCUUUCAUAUCAAUUUGAUAAAACCUUUCCUUUACAAGUAUAAGAGACAUAAUACAAGUCAACAUUAACAUAUAAGACCAUAGCCAACCAUACAUAUACUCAACAUAUGUCCAUAUACAAUCCAUGCUUAACUUUAAAAGAACACAUGUCAUUUCAUUACCAUAGGACCUCUACCUAAUAUAACCUUAAGACACACUUGAGUGAGACAAGAAGUGACCGCCCAUACAACCUCUUCAAGCACACUUAAGUGUUCCCCAAGAUUACCUUAGAUAAGGACAUUUCAUUUACAACAUAACAUCAAUACAAAUGCAUAAAUAUAGGAGGAAACAUCAACUCCACAUAGAAAGUCCCACACAACUUCAUGCAAUUCAAGAAAGUAGGCACAACAUCCAACACUAAACUCCAUACUCAUCACAUCUAUGCCCCUUAAAACACCACACUUCAUUACCAUAGGACCUCUACCUAAUAUAACCUUAAGACACACUUGAGUAAGACAUAAACGACAUAGACCAUACUAGAGUGCACAUCCCAUAUGAUGGGAAUAGGCUUAACCGACAUAGACCAUACUAGCUAGGUAUGGAAUCCGGAGUCUAUCCUACUCCGUGGAGGUUGUUCUACAUGCCAAGGGUAGAACUACUAGGCAACCCAUGUAGGCACAUGGUUUAGGGGAUGUCCAAGGAAGUUCAUUGUGUCUAAUCUCAUACUCAACUAGGCCACCUUCCUAGCCACAUCCACUCGGUGCUAACCUUAUUUCCCAUACAAUAUUCAAUCAAGUGUGUACUUAGAGAGGGUUCCUUUUCAAAUUCAACCAACUCAUAGUACCUCUUCGCAAGAAAGGCCCCAUUUCUUAGUCAUAGCCAAUCAAGGUUCAUAAGGAUAGCUCAUUUAAAUUUCUUAGAUAAGGAUUCUCAUGCCGUUCCAGCUCCAUCCAUGUCUAAGUCUAUCAUUUCACUCAAGAAGGGAACAUCGCCCUAAGGCCCAUCCUUCAAGGUUAUUCAUUUAUUUAGGAAAGCUAGACUGAUGAAAGGGCACCAUUUCUUAGUUCUUCCGAUACAAGUCUUGGCCUAGAAUUCCUCUUUUAGCCUUUAUAGAAAGGGCACCAUUUCUUAGUUUAGCCCACUUCACACAUUCAUGCAUUCAAGACUUUAAGUAACAAGGAGGGACACUUUAGCCACUUCACACAUUCAUGCGUUCAAGACUUUAAGUAACAAGAAGAGACACUUUAGGCUACUAAUCAAGUCACAUCAUUAUCAUCUGAGGACACUUCACAAUCCAACAUCAUCACAUAUAUACAUCAUGAGAAAUCAUACUUUAGAUCACAACGCUAUCCACUUUACAUAGGAUCAUCACAAGAUCACAUAAACUCAUUCACAUCAUAUCCUCACAUAUAGCUUCACAUAAAGGUUUACAUAUAGGACUUUACAUAUAGACUUGCUUAUAUAUAAUAACACAACAAUACACAAUACUCAUAUAAUUCCCUUCAUGACCACAAUCAUAAUUCAAAAGCAACAAGCAACACUUCCACCAUAGGUGGAUCCAACCUAAAAAGCAAUUAUAGCAUUAUUAAGAUAUCAGGCCAUCUUACCACCUUUCAAAGGCCAUAAGCCACAAUACUCAAUUCCAUGCAACUUAUACAAUAUUCAUCAAGUUAGAUCAACUUACCCUCUUUCCAUAGCUAUCUUCAUCAUCCUCAUAGUCCAACAACUUACAAUACAAUAACAAUGAUAAUAACAACAUUCAACUAUACAAGUUAAGCUAAACAAUGUUCAAUAACCAACUAAAUCCAAAUUUAUAACCAUUCAAGGCCACUACUUCACAUUAUACAAUUAAAUAACAAUUUCCAACAAUUCAACAUAGCUAAGAUCAUAUAAGAACAGCCCACAUCUAACCAUUCAAUAAUCAUUCAUCAGUUACUCAAAAUCAAUACACCCAAUUUAGGCCAAUUUUAGAGAAUUUGAGAAGACAUGGGUUCAUGAAGAUUUCUUUCUUAACACCAUCAAUAAACAUCAAAAAUAACAUAAAUCAUCAUUUAGAAUCAUUUAAGGAAAGAACCCACGCUUAGAAUUCAAAAUAGGUUUUUUGUGUUUUUGGAAGAAGUUUGAAAUCAUUUGGAUUGAGCUCCUUGAAAGGAAGAAUAAUCAAGGAUGAAGGAUCCCCAUACCUUAGCCUUCAAGAACCAAACGAAAUUGAAGAAGAAAUCAGUAGCCACCAUCAACUUAGCUCCAUCUUUCACCUUGAGCUUCCAUGGGGUCUUGAGAGAGUUUUGAGAGAGGGAGGGUUUUGAAUUUUUUUGGAGAAUGACUUUAAAAUAGACUUAAAACCUUAUAUAUUUAUCAUAUAAACCAUUUAAAAUCAACCCCACAUAAUAAACAAUUAAAACGAAAUUACUUAUAAACCCCUCACUAGGGCAGCCCCGUCAGGGACCAAGGAAGACUUUACGGAUCGUGAAGGGGGACCACCUAAUUCAUUUUGAGCCAUGAGAUAUGACCAUAAACAUCACAUGACCAACCAUAAAAAAAACAUGAGAGGCUCUAGUUCACCUAGUUCAUUUUUAGGGUCGUUACAUUCAGGUUGAUGCAGUCCUCGGUAUCAUGUCCAAUACUAUUGGAGUGAUAUGCGCACCUCUGGUCAGGUCUGUAAAACUUUGAGCUAGUAUCAACCGACUUGUGCCCCACUGGAUGAAUACAUCAUGUGGCAGUUAAUCGCUCGAACAGCUUUUUUCGGCUUUCAAUAAGCGGAGUGAAAAUUCUAGCAGGCUUUUUCUCAAAUCUAGGACGGGGGGAUCAUAAUUUCCUUGUUGUGGAGGAGGCGUUUGACGAUAAUUUGGAGCGUUUGGACGGGGGGCUUGAUAUUUGGGGUAUGAGAUGGUCUGGUAAUUUGGUUGUGGAGCUUGGUAGUUCGGGGGGGUAUUUUGGUAAAGUGGAGCUGGGGUUUGGUAUUUUGGGGGAGGAGUUUGGUAAUUUGCCUGAACGUUAGCACAGUUGGGGGCGACAUUCGGGUAGUGAUGAGAUGGAGUCUGGUAAACGGGAAGGGGAGUUUGGUAGAUAUGAGAGGGAGUAUUUUGAUAACUAGGAGGAUUGGUAUUUUGAUAACUGGGGUGAGGGGUAUUUUGGUAACUGGGGGCGGGGUAUUUUGGUAAUUAGCCUGUGCAUAACAAGCCGAGUACGAACUCUGUGAAGGUCGAGAACGACCUUGGUAUGAUGAGGAUUUCCUUGGGGUCUUCUUCCCCUCAUAAGAGAUAGAGGACACAUCCUCUCUUUUCUUCUUCAACAAUCCCGAAGAUCCGUGUGAGGCAGCAACACGGGCAAUCUUUCCGGUUCUCAAUCCAUCUUCGAUAGUCUCACCUACCUUGACUAUCUCAACAAAUUUCGCUCCAACGAGCAACAUGAUUCUAUCAUAAUAUUCGGGCUCUUGCACGCGCACAAACACUUCGACAAUUUUCUUUUCUGACAUGGGAGGUGUAACUCUAGCUUCCUCCUUUCGCCAUCUAUAUGCGAAUUCUCUGUAACUUUUGGUCGGCUUCUGUUUCAUCUUCUCCAAGGAGUAACGAUCAGGAACGAUCUCCAUAUUGUAGGCGAAUCGUUUGAUGAAGUCCUUAGCCAGAGCGUUCCAGCUAGACCACUAUCUCGUUUCAUGAGACGUAAACCAUUCUAGAGCCUCUCCGCUCAGACUUCGGCUAAAAAGCCGCAUUAACAAAGCUUUAUCUCUCCCAACUCCCACGAGUUGGUCACAGUAGGCCCUCAGGUGUGCUAAUGGGUUCCUGUACCUCCGAAGAUGUCGAAUUUUGGCACCUAGAAUCCUUCCGGGAGGUCCAAAUUCGAAUAAAUGCACAGGUCUUCGUAACUCAACCCGACAACCUCAGGAUUGCAGUUCAAUUCCUUCAUGGCUUUUCUUAUUUCCUCCUUCAUAUUUAUCUUGGCGGUCUCUUUCUUUGACCUCCACUCUUUCUCCCUCUCCUCAUAGUGGUCUAGCUCCGAACCAUGGACGUCAUGCUCGUUGGGGACUAGUAUUUGGAAAGUGGCUUUUUGCUGUAGUGGUGGAGCAAUAGAGGGACUCUGGCCAUUUAAAGGGGCGUGAUAGUUUUGGGGGAAAGUCUGGGGGAUAGUAUACUGGUUUUGGUGAAGGAGGGACGUGUGUGGGUUAUUGGCUGUGAGGGGGUAGGCUAGUUUGGUAGUUUGCAUUGGGGGGAGGGGAUGGUUCUUGGAGGUUGGUAUUUUGAGGAAGGGGUGGUGUUUGAUAAGAGGUUGAGGCGUAGUGGGGGUUUUGGGUGGUAAGGUCAAUGAUGUAGGGAUUACGAGCAGGACUUGAAGGUGGAUUUUGAGCUUGUUCCACGUUAGGAGGGGGGAUUUGAGCUGGAGGUCUUCCGUCUGGUUGAGUGUUGACAGCAAAAAUCGGAGGAGGCAAAUCUUGUUUUUUCUGCAUCUCGACCCUCAUCUCAACAAUUUGUUGCAUCAACUGCAGGAUCAGUUCAUUCUAAUCGGCAAGGACGGGCUGAGCCACCACGACAUCAGUAAGGCCGGUUUCUUCGUUGUUAUCACCCAUUGCUGCUUUUCCCUUUUGUGAACUUUGACUAAGGAAGGAAUCUUUAGGACCUUUAGAUCUAGUGAAAUAAGGAUGAUUGGCUAGUGUAUCAAUACAGAUCAAUUCUAACUACCUGUAGAGAAAAAUAACUCAAAGGUAAAUUUAUUAGUAUUAGUUUCAGACGAAUAAUGCAAGAUAUCACAUAGAAGGCAUAUAAACACAUAAGAGUUACUUUGUUUGAGGACACGUUAACCCACGAGUAAUGGGGACUGAUUUUUUGAACAUGCAGGAAUUUGCUCAUUUUAUUUUGGGGCUAGUGACUCAGAAAGGCUAAAUUGCAUUGAGCUAAGGUCUUCUUGUUGCAUCUUCUGGCAUCUGUUAAUCUGAACUCAAUGUUUCCUGUAGAGUGAAGGGGAAAAGAAAAUUUUAAAAAGAUGGGGGCCGGGCCUUGAAAGGAUGCCUACGUAUCUCCCAAGGAGAAUUCAGGCCCUACGUAGUUCGAAUACAAAAGGAAAUUCUCAUUUUCAUUCAUUUGUUUCUGGUGAUUACAAGGAAAGUGAAAAAAUAGACAAUAAAGCUCCUAAAAGAUAAAAUAUGCCUUCAUCAAAGCUUUUUCUUCUGACUGCUGCAUUAAUCACGGGGGGUAAACUCAACUUGAAUCUUUCCCAUGUUGAUGAGAGAUUCUAUGUCAUAGCGAAACUCGAGGCACCUUCCAAUGUUGUGAUCUAUGGCAUCAUGAUAAGGGAAGGGUUUCCAGAUUUCACUUCCAACGGGAUCGAUCGCUUCGCCAUCCUUUCUAAUAGAGGCCAAGACCCCUUUUCAAACCAACUGACUGUAGAUACCCAACACUUUUUUCUUGAAAGGCGUGAAGUAGUGACAACAGAACAAAGUGUGUUUAGUGACUGACAUGCUGGGCUCCGGUUGGUCACAGGUAAGGACGGUGUUCUCACCCUACAUAAACGAGAUCUCCCCAAUGUUGAUCAGGUUGCGGAUUGUUGCCUUAAGCUCCACACAUUCCUCUUUAGUGUGUACUCUUUGGUUCGGGUGGUAGGCACAUGUCUUUUGAGAGCUUUCAUGCCCAAACCAAAAAGUGGUUCCUUCGAGAGUCUUCAGCAUACCUAACACCUUAAGGUGCUCGUAAAUGAGAGCACACGGCACGACUCUUGCCCCCACACUACGUGUCCACACAUAAGCCGGGAGAGUGAUUCUUUUGUCUCCUCCUUUCAGACGUCCCAGGAAGGGAGGCAUAUAGAUGAUAUCCUCAUCGACAUCUUCUUCAGUAGCUCCAGGGUGAGUGUCUUGGGGACCGUUAUUGGCUUCUUGAUUAAAAAAAAAGCAUUUUCCACGUAUCUUCUGAAGCCUCAUGGUUAUAUCUUUGUUAAAGACAUCAUGUUCCUUCCGCAUAGCAACCGUCUCUUCAUUCAUGGUAUCAUAUCUUGCCAUCUUAGCCGCCAACUCCACAUCUAGUGCGACACUUGGCUUGCGCAGCUGCGGUGGCUAGUUCUACUUCUAUUCUUCUUUCUCCCAUUUCCCGAAUCUCUUGUUUGAAUCUGCGCAAUUUCAUCCUUAGACUCUCCUCAGUCGUCUCCAUCUCGACAGUCUUGCCUUUUUCCAUCCUAGAAGCAAUUUUACCUUUCCUGAGAUGAUAGAGUAAUAUUUUAGGAUUUGGUAGUAGGAUUUUAUUUCUGGCUGAGAAACUCAAGACUCAUGAAAUUUUUGUCGGACAUUUUGGUAGUGACUUGUAUUUGAUAUUGUAGGGAUUUUUGGAAAAAAAAAUUUCUUUUUAAAAGGAGUGGGCUAAGAAUGUCCUCAUUCAAAGCAACGUACCACAUAAACAGUUAAAGCACACAAGUAAACAGAACAAAUAUCGACGUCUUAAACAUGCAUGUGACCCUUUUGUGCCAAGGGUAGGCCUAGCGAAUUGAAGGAUGUAUAUGUCUUUUUAAGCCAAUUCAUUAUCCCCAAAAUAUUUCAUUAAUAACAUUCAAAAAUGUUGGACAAACAUAAAAUUGGGGAAAAGAGUUCGGAAAAUAAAUUACAAGGCAAAGUACGAAUAAAGCAAUCCCACGCAGGGGAUGAUAACAAACUCCAAGCUCACCCUAAUCUUUCACCAAGUCUGCUCCUCUUGGCUAUGCUGACCUCUUCCCACAUAGCAUAUCUGUUCGCCCAUAGGUGAUCUCUUGCCAGCCGAUCCCCUUCUUGAUGUUUGAACCUCUCGAUCGACUGAAUCUGCUGUUCCAUGCUAUCAUCUAGUUCUGAAAUGCAUUGCCUGGAUCUUUAUAGCUCUUGCUUUAACUGAGCUAAUACUUUGGCGUCUUCUGAGUGUCGAAGUUGAUACUCUAGCUCAUUCCUAUCAAACUUCUCUUGGAGUUGAUGAAGUCGGAUUUGAUGCUUGACUCCAACAUCUGCAAUAAUAUGGGGAACGUUUGGACCAGGUUCGAUAGUUCCGACGAGACUCUUCUUUAACUAUUCUUUGUAAUCCUUAGAACAUUCCAGACGAAACCUAUUUGGCACCGGCUCACCCAAUACCCUUCGAGUUUUCCAUAAUUGAAGCAUUUUUUUAGUAAAAGCGACUUCGCCAUUUUCAUGAUCCGUCACAAAUCUUGUCAUGUCUUCGAUUUGAGGAAGCUCUUGUUUCCCCUCUAGUUGUCUAAGUACUCGAGAAGGAGCAUAUGGUCGAGUUCCUCUCAGCCCAGCAAAUAUCAAAUAAGGGGCCUUUCCACUUCGGAUCACGAUUUGUUUUGUUAUUACCAAGCAUGGGAUUGACCACUGCACAUUUUCAUCUCUCAAACCCUGAAGUCUCGGGUACCAAAACUCUUGACCUCCAGUCCUGUUGAAAUGAUUACGUUGCACCUACCAAUCGUGACUUUCGAGUCUGUUCGGUCUUUCCAAGGGAUUUGGUUCUGUUGGAUCAUGAGCUUUGAUCAAGUGUCUCAUCAUUCACCAUUGAAGUAUUAGGUUGCACUCUUGAAAGAAAUGUGUGCCACUUUUGCAUCUAGCCAAUGCCCUGUAAAUAUCAGCAAGGAUCAUAAGGGCCAAAUUGUAGUACUUUCUUACAGACCCGUAGCCUAUUCCAUUAAAAAUAGCAUGAGUAACCAUUACUACACUUGGAUGGAUGGUGUAGUUUGGUCCUUGGGGAAACACCAUUGUCCCAAGUAGAUAUAUCGCAAAAGCGAGGGGGCGUGUUUCCUUCCAUUUUUCUUCUGAAACAAACUCUUCUUUGAACUUCUCGUAAGCUCUUGUGCGUCCAAAUUGAUAAUACAACUUCCGAAGUGGAAUUUUUGACCCGGGAAGCCUUUCCAUCCAUUCAGCUUUGACAAGUGACAAUUUUUCUUUGAUUUCGGUAAAAUCCUACACUUUUGGAAAGAGAAGAUCAGUAUCGGGUUGGUGUUUCCUCUUGUUGCACAUGCUGACACUCUCGUAACUUGCAAGAACUUCAUCUAUAGUCGGGGUCAACUCUACUUCCCCAAACCGAAAUACCAUGUUGGCGCUGUCCCAAAAUUUCACCAUUGUUCGAAUCAAGUCGGGGUAAGCCACCAUUUCCAUUAAUGACGGGAGAUGACCUAUAUGUCUUUGAACUUUCUUCUUAUCUUCCUUGUUCAUGAAUUUCCACCAAACCUGGAGGUAAGGAUCAUGUAUAGUCACCAUUCGGGUUCUCAACGGUUCAAAUGUUGGAUUCAUCCUACAAGAAAAACAAACAAAGGUAAGUUAACCCCACCCCCACUUGAUAAUUGAUUUGUUUAAAAAUGGCAUAUACAUCCUUCAAUUAAAACACAUAAAUAUGAUUGUCUUUUAUUGACCAAAAUGGGUCAAAGAGACACAAGGUGGGCUUCUAAUGGGCCCAACACGCCUUGGGUGUUGGGUCAAUUUAGUUCAAAAUGCGCUAAAUCAGAGAUUUGGUUUCGCUCUACGCUAGUUGACUAUGAGUGGCUUUUGAAAGAUCGGGAACCCAAGUGGACAACUUACGCUAGAAUUCACGACAACCAUUGAACGCAUGACGUACCAAUAAAUCGCCGAUCCUUUCAGAAAAGGGUUGAGCAUAAGAAGUCCGACUGCGAUUAUGCAGAAACCGUCCUUAAUAUACUAUACAUACGAUGGAAUAUGCCAUUAAAUGCAAUGACAGUUAUAGCAGUUUAAGCACUUUAAGCACAAAUGAACAUUUCAACAGUCAAUAACAAUUAAUCAAAUAGUCAAAUCUUAUGGUUAGAACUUAAUUAAGUCUCCAGCAGAGUCCCCAUUUCUGUUUUACUCUAAAAUAUAAAUAAAAGAAAAAUGACUAAGUUUUCGAAAAAUCAAUUGAACUUAUGAUUUAAGAGAAAUCGAAUUUCCAAAAGGACAGAGUUGCUACUUAAGUUUUAGUAAAUAUCAAGAAAAAACGUAAGGUUUUCAAAAGAUUUAAACAGAUAAAAUCAAUUGAAAAUAAAAGGGGUCGAAGUUCAUUGUACAUUUCGAGAAGGUGUUAGGCCCUCGGAAUGUCCCCUAACUUGCGGUUGACUGGCGAUUUGACUAAAAAUGACUUUGAUUGGUUUUGAAAUUUUAACUAAAUAAAAGGACUCAUCACGACUUUGACUAAUUUUGAAAUUUUAACUAAGUAAAAGAACUCAUUUAUUUUAACUAUUUUUUUGAAAUUUUAACUUAGUAAAAGAACUUAUUUAUUUAUUGCUAUUAUUAUUUUUAUCAUUUUAUUUAUUUUAAGGGGGAAUGAACUAAAGGGGAAUUUUCUAAAAGGGAAAUAACUUAAGUGACAAGACUAAUAAAAUUAAAGCUAAGUAUAGAACAGAAAUACUUUAAUUUUUAUAUAUAUAAUGAAAUGGCUAUCUUGUGGAAUUUAAUUAAAUUAAACCAUCAGAUAAUCAAAGGAAAGACAUUGGACUUUUGGCCCCCUUUCCAUCCUCCUUGAUCAUGAUAUACACCAAGUGUAUAUUCGAUGUACACACCAUGUAUACCGCUAAUUCUCGGACUCCCGGACCUGUGUUUUGUUUUAAACUCAUUAAUUCUGCAUUUCUCACUCUACAUUUUCAUGUUUUGACCUGUAUAUCAUAUUUUCUGACUGUAUAUCAGUGUAUACAACAUGUAUAUUAGUUUAUUUUCAGCUUUUCGAAACCUCAAAACCCGAUUUCCAUCCCUGCAUUUCAACUUGUGCUUCUUUUGCUGACUGACUCGACAUAAUAGGGUUGGGCUUCAGCCCAAUUCGAAAUGAAGGGUGAAGGAGAGGAUCCGGUGGACCCAAAUCGAAGAGGAUCAUACAUAAAAAUAAUGAGAAUUACUAAUUAGUCAAAAUUGAACAUUCACUAAACAUAGCCAAGUAUGUAAAAAUAGUAAUAAGGUCAAUCUUUCACAAUAACCUUACUAACAUUCAUACACCAUAGGAGAUGAUAACAUUUAUUUUGGUGCACACCUAAUACUCAAUCGGAUGAAGUUAUGCAAUAAGAAGAUUAUCCGAAAUGGAGAGAAGAUAGCGAAACAUGGACCAAUUUUAAUGGAAUGAACACACUUGACCUUAACCCGACAUAUUUUACGCAACUCAACCUUAAUAAAACAUGUAAAACCUUCUAGUUCCAAAGAGAAAAAAAAAUGAAAUAAAUAAAGAUUAAAAAUAAUAAUAAUUCAUUCUACUAAACCAAAAACUAGGCAGAUCACCCCACAUUAAUUGAUCAUAUGUUUAAACAAUAAAUAAUCGCACGAGGAAGAAAUACAAUUAAGCUAAUCACUAGUACCCCUCUUUAGGAUAUGUAUAUCUUCUAACACAUUUACUCAAAAUAGAUGUGCAUCAAUAUAGCCAAGUAACCCGGCAAGAAAACUAGAAACAAACAUGAUCUCGCUACAUGAAUCUAUCAGGUAGCACUGCUGAUUUUGGACAUUAAGACCUACCAAAGCUCUAUCGAAAAUAUUUUAUUUAUUUAUUUAUUUUUUAAUCCGGCCAAGAACUAAACAAGCUAGUCUUGGCAAUAUUAAAUAUUAAAACUCCCCAAAGCUCAAAGCAUCAUGUAACAUUUAAGAAUAAUAGAUGAAAAUACAUAAUGACUAACUAGAUAGAUACAAGAAAAGAAAUGCCAAGAACACAUCGCCAACUUGAGCUAAAGGAAAUCAUGCAUAACACUCUAUGACAGACCAAAGACUUGAAAAGCAAAGAGAACAACAAAGUUUCCACCACUCUUAGAAAACAUUUUCAGUAUGUAGAAAGCAAAACUCAUGUUUAAAUAAAGACCUACAACCCGCAAACUUCGAGAGAAAAUAUUAACACCCAAAGAAAAAGAAGAACAAACUCAACCAAAGAAAACAGAAAAACAACAUCACUAGAUACACAACGACUAAAACUUAAGUCAACAUUACAACUGAAUCAUGGAAAACGAUUAAGCACAUGCAUAUAUCAUAUUAAACACAUUGGCCAUCCAAUGGCAUCUAACAGCAAACAACCACAUAGCGAGAAUUUUACGACAUCGGAAAACGUCACAUCAAAAUAGAAGAAGAGACGAAGAGAGCAUUAUCAAAAAGGAAGCGUUACCUUUCUCGAGGCAGUGACUUGGACAACGAGCUAGAAGGAGCAGCGAUCUCUUACACCAUUUCAAGACUCGAGCGAUAAAUCUGAAUAUCCGAACUAUCUUCUAACAAAGCCUUUUUCAGAACCUAGAGUUUUUGUACACAAGUGUUUUGACUACUAAUUUUCGUGUUUUUCUCCAAAUUUCAGCUAAACAAAAAAAAUCCUCCCCCUCCCUUCUGAAACAUUAAAGAAUUUUUAUAGAAGGGAGCUAGGGUUCGAUUUUUUAAGGUAAGAACAAGGGGGCAAAAUCGGAAUUCCCAUCCAAUUCUAAAAUUCUAAAAUUCUUUCACCAUUAAGGGGAGACACCUUUUCUGAAGCUUUCUCCCCAUUCCGAAAGAGGAAAGGCAAACAGACGGCUAUGAUCGACCUCUCGUCCUUGAGUGCCGACGUGGAGUAAGCUCGUAGUGGCGAGGACAAAAUAGCAGUCUGCUAUAGCCGAAAGCACUGUACAAGAACAGUACUGGACGAGGAAGAAGAUGCUGUUUGGUACCGUGUAUCGCCGUUACUGGGCUCUCUUGGAAUUUUCACUGAUGUGGUCAAUGUUUGUGAACGUUGGGGGGCUGUUGUUUGGCGUGUUGGAUUGUUGCUGCUUAGCGUUGGAAAAUAGAUGGAUUUUUGGGCUUUUUUGUGAAAGGGAGUGGGCCGGGUCGGGAGAUGUUGUUUGGUGGCAUUGUUGGGAAUGAGUUGUAUUGCUCUUGAUUGUUAGAGUUGUAAUUGGGAAUGGGUUAGCAAUUAAGGGGACUUGGGCUGGUCACGGGAAUGAAAAAAAGGUUCAAUAUUUGGCCUUGUAAAUUGAAUAGGAUAGAGUUGGAUUUGAGGUUUGGCCAUAUGAGUUUAAAUCAUAGCCAGUUGGAAAUUAAAAAGUAUAGCCGACCUUAGUUAAUUAGGAUAAGCUCGGCUAGUAGUCGGAUAAGAUGAAUUACUACAAUUAAUUUACGAGCUUCAUAAUCUUAACGAGAUAAAAAUAAAAAUAGCUAACUUACUGAUGAAAUAAUCAAUUCAAAAAUAUAAACUAAUAUUAAGUGAGCUAAUUAAAGGAACACUUAAAAAAGUAAAAUCUUUUUUUAAAUGAUUUUUUGAAUGCUCGUAAGGAAUAUAAUAAUUACAUACAAAAAUUAUAUAAAUAUAUAUAUAUAUAUAUAUUCCAGAUCAUUGAAAAUUAAGAAGCUCGAAAAUUAAUCUUAUCGAUGAGGGUCAAAAUUGAGUGUCAACAACGCCUGCUAUCAAGAGUAAUUGAACUGCAUUAUAAAACAUUGCAACAUCAAAUAGCAUUAGUACAUGGAACGUACUGUAUGUAAUAAGAUUGAAUUGAAAUACAUAAUUGAAUAGAAUACAUGAACUGAAAGUAAAGCAUGAACUUGAAAUGACAUCAUUAAAGUUUUACAGUAAGAUAUGCAAUAAUAGGAAAUACUAUAAUAAUAAUAGUAAUAAUAAUAAUAUACUUUACGUUUCUUGGGGAGUUCUCUAACCAACAACCAUCACUAUGAGGCCCGUGAUGAUACAACGUCUCGCCCACGUUGCCAUAGUAUGAAAUGUAACUCACUUAUGGAUCCACUAAAAAGCAUUCUUGAGGCAGGUGAGGAGUCGCCCGAAUUUCGGUACGAUCCUAUCUAUGCUAAAAGUGCAGGUUAUGAGAUUCGAGCUAUCAUAACUCUUACCCAAAUCGGUGAUCAAUCCUACUCCCAAAAUAUAUGUAUUAAUGGGCUUAUAAUAAUAAUACUCAUUGAGUUGAAUUAAUACUCAAAAGGCCCUUUUUAAAUGAUAAAUUGAUCUUUACUUUCAUUAACUGACUAAAAUGCUUCUGUAAACUGUUUAUACUCUUCUUAAAAUAGUAGUUCUCUUCUCAAUGCAAAAUAAUAUAUUUGGAACCGUUAGCGUUCCUUUAAAACUCUUUUCAAAUGAUGCUUAAAAUAUACUUGGACUCAUUUUAAAUUUUGAAAUUAACGCUUGAAAAUAAUUGUACAAAAACUUUAAACAAAAUCUCAAUUACUAGGGCUCAUGAGGUAAAUAUAAGCAUGAACAACAACUCAAGAAUUAAAAUGCAUAGAGUAUCAAAUUUCAUCUCAAUAGUUCGCAAAUGGGAACUCCAAAAAUUCAUGGAACUUAGGGUAUAAACCUAGAUUUAUCUCUUCACUAACAGAAUUUAGAUGUAGGGCGUGAUGAAGAACUUAGUCCAGCACUAUGAAUAGUUUUACAUACCUGAUUAUGAAGCUAUUGGAUAGAAGAAUUUGGCGGAGACUUCAUUUUUCUUGAUCCUGAGGAAGAACACUAGCUUUCUUGAAGGAAAACUUUGAUCUUGAAAUCUUGGUGCUUGAUCUUGAGGAAAAAAAUAUAUUUUAUGGAGUUCUUAGAGUGGAAUAACUUGAGAAAACCUUGGAUUGAAGACUUCUCUUUGUAUUUUGAAUUUUUGACAUAGAAAUUUUAGGGUUCUUGGUGGAAAAGAGGAACCAUGAGUGAAUUCUGAGAAAUUUUUGGAAACUUGAAUGUUUAGAUUGAUGAUUAUGAGAGGAUAACUAGUUACUUGAAUGAUAUACUCCUUUAAAACACCCAAAAUGACUUAUAGGGACAAAAAGCUUGGGAAAGGACCAAGGUAACCCGAACACAUGCAUUAAGUUUCUAGAAAAAAAUCGCAGCAAGCCUUCAUAGAAGGCUCCACGAUCCGUGGAACAUACCAUCGUCCAUAGUAUCAGCCGUGAAAUAGCGACUAUAUGACAGGCUUCACUGAAAUGAGUAUAACGUUUUACUUCAAACUCUAAUUAAUGUAAACUUGGUGGUGUUAGAAAGAAGACUCAUAUACCUUUAAUUUGAUGGGUUAUUGGCCACGCAAUUCUUCAUAUUCUAAGAUAUAUGAUUAUUUGAAGUUGAUCCAAGUAAAAUAUUACAUUGACACCCAAUUGGUAAGGAAGCUUUCAACUCAACUUUGUGUUAGAGGAUUCUUAUAACCUUAGUCAAUCUCUAAAUCUAUUCUCACACUAAGGAAUUGACCUUAACACCUAAGCACAAUUUAAGAAUCACCCGAUAGAACCUUAUACGCAUAUGAAGAAUGGUUUGAGUCUUCGUUUAGAAAUUUUAAGGGUGUUACGAUACCUCUGUAAUUAAUAUGUCUUUGGAAGUUUAAAUAUUUUUCUUGAAGAUCCAUUUUUUUUUUCAAGAGGCCAUUUAAUAUGAACAAAGGGAAAAAUAGUAAAAUUGAUCAAUCUGUAAAUGAUUUCUUAUUAACCAUGUAAAAUAAGAAGUGCCCAUAUAAUAUGAAAUAAAGGGAGUAUAUACGAAUUAAUAAGGUGAAACAUGUUUGUCUGUCUGUAAAGAGGAUAAAUUAGUCAAUUAAUAUGUCUAUUUAUGCAUUAAUUAUUUGUACAUUUUGGUUAGAAGAUUAUAUAUUUUUUGUACUUUACUUGGAUGAACAAAAAUGUGCCUUAUUUAAUGUUAUUUGUUUUAUGUUUAUGAAGCCUGACCUUUAAAUACCUUUAUUUCGCUCCUACUUUAUUUUUGCAUUGUUUUACUGUAAUAACCAGAUUCGGUCGUUAUGAGUAAGCUAAUAGUGAAUGAAUUUGGACCAGAAAACUUUUUGGAUAGUGACUUAAAUUUUUUUCAGCUAGGUCAGCCUCACAAAAAAUCUGGACUAUGUGAGGUUAAUUAGGGUCAUUCAGGAAUGGGUAGGGUGUGAUUUUGGGGGUUGGUUGAUAUAUUCUUGUAUCCAAGACAUUAAGGAAUCCAUAAUGCCUUUCAAAAUUGAAUUUAGGUUAGUAGAACUCUCGGAAUUAAACUUGGCAUGAAAGGUAUAUGUCGGGACAUCAAGAAAAGAUUUGUGUUGUAAAAAUUACCUUUUUCUAGAGUUUAAGUUUCUCAGCUUUAAUCGAUCCCGCUAUAGCGAGCCGAAUUGGGUUUUAGUGUAUAAACAACCCCGAAAUCUCUGUUUUCUGCAUUUUGAGUUCUUGGACUUGGGAGAGGCGAUUUUGGACAGGUAGCACCUGUUUCUCCACAGAAUUCAUUGAUAAAGGUAAGAAUUCAACUCUCCAACCUUAUGCAUUGAUUAUUAAGCCUUAGAAUCUAGGUUAUUGCUAUUGGUGUCACGCUCUGAGCCUACAUCCUGGGCGGGACUAGCACUCGAGAACUAUUUCUGGUCCCAAGCGAACCCUUGGCCUAGCUAGACUCUCAGCGGAAGACUUUAAGAAUUAAUUAAAGAAAACAAAUGCAACUUUACUCAACUUUCUCAAAAUAACUUAGAAUGUUUUAGAAUUAAACAUCCAACUAGCCAAAGUGGCAACUCAAGUUUUAUAACAAGACAACUUAAAUGCAAAGACUAAAUGACUAUAGCUAUCUCUCUAUGAAGCCUCUAAUACUAUGAGGGAUGUCGAGACGAAACCCUCGAUCAUCCUAAAAACUAAAAUACUAAAGUAAAAAUGAAAAUGGAUCACCCGGAAAGACAGGAGGCUCACCAAAUGACUCUGAAAUGCUCAACUGGAUCAACAAAGAGCUUGAUGUUGAUCCUGAUAACCUGUAUCUGCAUCAUAAAAGAUGCAGGCCAAAUGGCGUUAGUACAUGGAAUGUACGAGCAUGCAAGGGAAAAACUAAAUAUGACAUAAGCUAGAACUGAAAUCUGAAAGAAACACUUACCUCAACAUUACUCAACUCAAUGCAAAAAUAAACAACAAUAAAGAUACAGUUUAUAUAAAGCAUUUAAAACAGUAGAUAGCAUCUCAAAGUAUUGAAAAAUACAAUAAUAUCUCAGUUGUAUGGAAGAAUACAAAAUAAACUCUGUUUGGGAGAUUCUCUAAACGAUAACCAUCACUAUGUCACUUAAUAGGAAGGCUCCAACUUAAAGAGAACUAUCUAAUUCUUGUUUAUAGGGAUAAGUAGGAAUCCUAAUGCCCUUUUUACUGGAUGUGUUUAAGCUUACCGACAAAUAACUUAUCACCAUGCUAUAAUGGAUUUUUUUUUUUGAAUUCCAGCUUAUAGAAAACAGUUUGUCUGUGUUUUGAAAUAAACCAAUCAAAGCAUGCUUCAAAGCACUGUUCCAACUAACCGAUGGAAAAGUUCUAGGCAGAGGGACAGAAUGAGGCUUAUAUGUAUUUGUAUUCUAGAAAACUAUUGAUAUCUUGAAGUGUUCUAAAGAUUUCUAAGGUUGCAAAGUAUGUCAUAUCUGUGAAUUCAUGUCCAGAUAUCAAGAGAAGUUUGAAUGGUUUGUUUGUUUGAUACUGCUAUGUGAUGUUAUGUCAUUGUACGUUUAUUUGAACCUCCCUUUCCUUGUUUGUUGCUUUCAUCCUGCUCUUCUCGUUCCCUUUUAUUUUUACCACAUAAUUUACACUUAAGUUGUUCAUAUAUGCUGUGUAAUUCAUUGAAAUAAUUCUUAAAGAAAACUGAAGUCUUCCUUUGUCUUUGCAGCGGCAUGUCUCUGAUUUCUAUAUCUCUGAUUUCCAGUCUGGAUUAAGGGCUUUGGUCAAAACUGGGUAUGGUGCAAGAGUAACCCCUUAUGUUGAAGAGUCUAUUGUUGUGGAUAUUGAUCAAUCAAAUAGGGACAUGUCACCUGAAUUUGUCAGAUGGCUGGCACAGAGAAAUCUGUCCAGUGAUGACCGAAUAAUGCGAUUGAAAGAAGGGUAUGGUUUAACUCAACUUCAAUGAAUCUUGAAUAUUUCUUCUGCUUGAGUUCUUUGAUUAAAUAACAGACAACAUGCUCAAUCAUAUCUAGAUGCCUGCUUUGAUUAAUGUAUAUAUUAUUACUUUUUUAUCCCUGCCAUGCAUGUUGUCCUCAGUUUGGUUUUUCCUCUCCCAAAUCUUUGUUCAGGUAUAUAAAAGAGGGUAGCACUGUGAGUGUAAUGGGAGUUGUCCGACGGAACGAUAACGUUCUGAUGAUUGUUCCUCCUCCAGAGCCACUUUCAACAGGAUGUCAGUGGUCUAAAUGUAUUCUUCCAGCCAGUCUGGAGGGUAUCGUUUUGAGAUGUGAGGACAGUUCAAAGAUUGAUGUCAUUCCUGUGUAGCACUUUUAUCAUUAUAGAAGGCUCUGCUGUUUUUGUUUUAAAUAUGUUGGAAAACCCUCUUCUGUCAGUGGCAACAAGAAUGGCAUCUUCACUCAGUUAACCAGAUAUGUAUAGUUUGUCGAUUUGAUUUGUUUUUUUUUUAUAUUCUUGUUGUAAUGGUGUUGGUGUCAUCAAAUGUGUAGAUACUGAUGAUUUUUUGAGAGAGUUGUUAUGGUUAGAAAGUCAAAUAUUUGUGUUGAGGUUGGGGACUUUUACAAAAGUAUGAUACCCCAAUGGAUACAACUCUACAAGAUAUGUUUAUUUGGUAUUAGUUAUUCUUUUGUGGCCACUUAGCCACUCUCAAGUCUCUUCUUGCAAAUUAACCUCCGUUCUUUGCUUGUUUGGAAUCUUGAAUUAUAUUGAUCAACAUGUGUUAAGUGAACAAUAAGAAAAGAUAAAAACAAUUUUCUCUAUACAUAUGAUUAAGCUUAGUUACAAUAAAGGCUAUAUCAAAAUAAGGCUUUGGUAAAUAUUCUGAAAAUGAUGUUGAUUUACCAAAAGGUUCUCUUUCUGUUUUGCCCAUUCCUGAACAAACUUGGAUGUAAGCCUUCAAUAACUUUCGGUGACCCUCUGUACUACGAUCGGUGGCAAAUAAGCGGAUUGAAUUGAAUCUGGACAGAUUGAAAUUUGAUUGAGUUGCAAUUUAUUCAUAUGAAAAUAUGUAAAAAAAAAUAAAUGGAAAAACAUCAAAUACCUUACUAUUUGAAAUAGUUUAAAUAUACCUCUCGUUAUACUUUUGAUCCAAAUGUACCCCUCUUGUACUGAAAUUUGAUGAAAAAACCCUUGGAUUCAUCUAGCUACCAGUACAAGAUAAGCUAAAAUUGUAUAUUCAAUACUUAAGGUGUACAAAACCGAAUCAAACCACAAAUCAAGUCAAAUCGGGAAAAAAAUCCGACUAUACUUGAGUUGGUUUAGUUUUAACUAAAAAAAGUCUACCCGAGUCCAAACUAACCCGAACAUUAUAUAUAUAAUUUUUAAAAUUUAUUUUAUACAUAAAAGUAUUUACUUUGUUGUAAUUUCAAAAUAUUACUUAUAUGUUUUCAUAAUUUUUAUCUUUUAUCAUAUUUUUUCAAGUUUUUUGAGACUUAGAAUUUUGAAUGGUCCAAUAAAGGUUAUAGUACAUAGAUAUUAGUAACUCUAAUAAAGCUCAAUUCAAAAUCAAAUCAAUACUAAUGCUAACAAAAUAAAUUAAUUCAACACUAAAAUGACAAUAAUGUUGAAUAUUUGUUCUUUAGUUUUACAUUGGUUUAGACAUUUAAAAUACAUAACCUAAUUUUAAUUCUUCUUUAAUGUUUAAUCAUGUAAUUAAUACUUAUUAGACUUAUUUUAGCAUGAUUUAGUACUUUUAAAUUAUAAUCAUUUUCAUUAUAGCUUAUUAAUUUGCAAUAUUUAUUUUAUACGAUUUCAUUAGUAUUUUUUAUUGAAUAUUUUAGUGUCAUCACUCAUCUCAUAUUUUGUGUUAUUUUCUUAACAAACACCUUAGAUAAUUGUAUUUUGGUUGGACUAAAGAAAUAUUUGGAGUACAAGUUAAUUAUUUGUUUGUAUGAAUACUUUACCGAAAAAAAUCCAAAAACCCGAAAAAAUCCAAGGUUUAUAGUUUGGUUUGAUUUUGAAAUUUAAAAUUCAACACAAAUGGUUUGGUUUGGUAUUUGAAGAAUCCGAACCAACCCGAAAAAAUCCGAGGUUGAAAAACACAAAAAACUCAAGUUUUAUUAGUUUGGUUUGGUUUAUAAUUUUAAAAAUUUGACACAAAUGAUUGGUAUUUGAAAAAUCUGAACCAACCCGAAAAAACCCGAGGUUGAAAAAUACGAAAAAACUAGAGUUUUAUUAGUUUGGUUUGGUUUAAUAUUUUAAAAAUUUGACAAAAAUGGUUUGGUUUGGAUUUUUGAUAUUUGAAAAAUCCGAACCAACACGAUCAAGUACACCCCUAAUUAAAAGGAAUGAAAUUUGAUAAAAACCCUUGGAUCCAUCUUCUUCUAUAAAAGGUAUGAAAUUCUUCCGGAAUAAACAAACUUUCUAAAGAAAAAUCAAAUAUUUAAAUUGGGAGUGAGUUAUUUAAUUCUAAGUUUGACUCAUGUUUCUUUGCUAAAAUUAAGGAUAAAUUUGUACCAAAGUAUAGUGGGAGACUGGAGGAUAUAUUUGGACCGAAAGUAUAACAAGAGAGGUAUAUUUGGACCAAAAGUAUAUAAAGAGGGGUAUAUUUAAAUUAUUUCAGAUAGUACAAGGGUAUAAUUGACCUUUUCCCAAAGAAGAAAAAAAGCGGAUUGGAUAUGAUAUAAUGGGAUAAAUGAUUCUAACCCACUUUAAUCCCUUAAAGCCCAAAAAUUUAAAACCUUUAAAUGAGUUAACUGAAAUCAACUUUAACAAUAAAAAAAAUAUUUUCCAUUUUUCUCACGAUUAUUUGGCUUAAAUAUUUUGAAAAAUAAUUUUCAACUGGACUUAUUUUAUUCUAAUUUAAGAAAAAUGACUUAUGUAUGUAAAGUAAGCAAAACAUUUUCAAAAGCCCUUUUUUAACUCUACCACCCCUUAUACCUCCACUUACUCUAGCUAGAUUCUGAUCCGGGAUCCGAUCCCAAAAUCGACCUUAAUGCCAACCCAAGACUUGACAUCAGGAUCCAACCCCGACCAAAGACCUGACCCCGACUUGAGUUUCAACUCCCAACUUGAACUCGAUACCCGACCUCGAUCCGAGAUCUAACCCCAACCUCAAAAUCAAACCUCAACCUGGGACCCCAAAUCGAACCCAGGACCCGACCCCAACUCUCGACCUGAACCCCAUUGUGACCUCAACCUAUGAUCCGACCUUAACAUAACACUUCAAAUGUUUGAAUUAUGUUGAAGCUAAUCAAAUGCAUGUGAUUUGAUCCAAAUUAUGUUUAAUCGAGUUUUAAGAUAAGAAAUCUAUCUCAAAUGAUGAGAAAUCAAAUUUGGGGUUUACCGCAUUAAAUCGUUUGUUAAUCGGAGUUCUGUAUAAAAAGUAAUAUGAGUGUUUUGUGAAAUUAUCGUGCAAAAGUUAAAAGCUACGUGUGGGAAAUUGGAGGAACCUUGCUCAAAAUUUUUAUUUCACUACAUUUUUUAGCCUACUUCUUAGAAAGGAAACACCCAAAGUCCUCUCUCAUACACCUAAGGUGAGUUCCUAUUCUAAUAUUUCGAUUUUAACAUUGAUUUUAUCGUGGAUUAACAGGCAAAUCAUUAUACUAAUUCAUAGAUCUUGAGAGUUCGAUUCUAGAUCAUUGAAGGAGAUUACUUGGAAUUCUUAUAAGCUAUCAUUUAAUGUAGGCAUGUUUAAGACAAUUCUAAGCGAGAAUAAGAUAUGUCUAUUUUUAUAAUAUCAGUAAAAUCUCUCUAAAUUAAUAUAUGCGGGAUCAUGAAAUAUCAUUAUUUUGUAGAGUAUUAUUUAAUCGAUAAACUAAUAUUUAUUAAUUUACAGAGUGUUUCGACACCAACAAAUUGUUCAGGGAUGAAAUCUCAAAGAAUUUGAAAGAACCCACUUGUGAAACCGUCAUUCAUGCACUUGAGGUCAUGAUUAAUAAUCUCGGUUACCGCAAUUAAAUUGACGUUAAUAACCUAUUGGAUGGGUGAAAAUGAUACAUGUUCAGAGGUCUAGAACUUAGAACAAAUUGUGGAUAUCAUUGGAGAAACAAUGUUAAUGAUAAAGUUGAAGAUGAUACAAUACCUUUGGAAUCAGUUACGCGUAAGGAAACACUAGCAUUUAGAAUUCUUUUCAAUUUUAUGGUGCAAUUAGAAAAGACAACACCAAAUUUUUUGGAUGCAAUAAGAAAAGUUAGAGAUGAGCUUCAACUAGAUUUAAAUUUAAACAAAAAACAGAACAUAACAUAAUCAUAUUUCACUAAAUUUUGUAGAUAUAUUUGUACUUUUAGAGAAUUAUUAAUUUAUAAUAUUAAUGAGACUAUAUAUUUAUAAAGGGGUCUUUUGAAAACAUAUUAUUUUAUCGAAAUGAGUGAUUUUUUCCAUUGGCCCAAGUCGAAAUCAGAGGAAAUUAUUAUUUUAGAGAAAUUAUUAAUUAACUGAGUAUUAAUUUAGUGAGAUUUUAGUGUAAAUCUUCUUUUGAAGUAUGGUCCAUAAACACUUUUUUUGUGACUACAAAGGGGUUUUAAACAAGAUUUUAUGCGUGUGAGGGACAAACUUGCAUCAUAUCUUAGUAUUUUGAUUUUAGUAUAUAUUCUGAACUAUGUAUAUGUACAUGGUUUGCCCUAUAAAUAGGAUUAUUGAACUUUAUUUCAAAGUGAUAACUUAAGCUCGAUUUUACUCUACGAAUGAACUAUUGAUUUGAAACAUGAUUUAAUGACUUUAAACAUGAUUUUUAAAGCUGAGAAAUAAUUGAAUUACUUAUGCUUAUGGAUUGAUCAGGAUGAGUUUAACGAGUGAAUUUUUUUUAUUAAAAAAAAUCAAGUAUUUAUGAUUGAGGGUGAGUCAUUUGAUUUUUAGUUUAUCAAAUGCUUCUCUAUCAAAAUGAAGAGCAAAUUUGUAUCAAAAUAUAGUGACAGGGAUAUAUUUAGAUAAAAAAUAUAACAAUGAAGUAUAUUUUGAAUCGAAAAUAUAAUAAGAAGUAUAUUUAAACCAUUUCUAAUAAUGGACAUGUAUAUUAGGCCCUUUUCUAUUAUUUAUAUGCUUUGCUUUCCAUGCUUAACCUUUUAAAAUUCCAAUGCAAUCAUAAUGUUAUUUAGUAAUUAUUUCAUCUUAUUCUAGUCUUACAAUUAAAUUUUGAAUUAUUUAUAUGUAUGAACUAAAAUAAAUAAAUAAAAUCAACCAAACAUACAUUAUUGAUUACGUAGAACUAAAAUUCGUAAUAUCAAAAUGUUAUUUAAUUUUAUAGACUUAAACUUGUUACUUCCUCUAUUUUAAUUUAUAUGAUUUUUUUUAGUUAGUCCAAAAAAGAGUGGGACAUUUUCAUAUAUAAUAACAAUUUAAUUUUAAAAUACACUUUUAAUCCUUAAUGAAAUGAUUUACAACCCACACACACAAUAUAUAUAUAUAUAUAUGAAUUAUUUUAGACUACAAAUUUUAAAAAAAAUAAUCUUAAAUUUCAUGUCAAAUCAAAUUAUUUCAUAUAAAUUGAAACUAAUGAGAUACUCCCUUCGUUUCAGCACUUCCUAUUUUACACGAUAAUUAAGAAAUCAUUAAUAAAUUGUUCAACUUUACUAUUUUGAUCUUUGUUCAUACUCCCUUGUCCCUAAUUAUUUGUCCAUUUUUCUUUUUUUAGUUGUCACUAAUUACUUGUCCAUUUUGACAAAUCAAGAAAGGACUAUUUUUUUACCUAUUAUACCCUUAAUUAAUUACUUUGAAAAAAGUAAAACUUUUUGAAAAUCUUAAAUUUUUAAUUCAUCCACUUCAUAAUUAAUAGGGGUAAAUUGAUAAACUCACUAUCUCAAUUAUUAUUUUCUUAAUAGGUGUCAAUUUAAAAGUGAACAAGUAAUUAGGGACAUAUGCAAUAUUAGUUAACCUCUUGAAAAAAAUUCUACAUCUUCAAAAUUAUUUAGACUUUCAAAGAUCAUAUUAAUUGUAGGGGUGAAAUAGAAAAAAAAAUAGUUAAUUUUAUUCUAAAUUAAUAAAUGACCAAGUAAUAUGAAAUAAAUAUUUUUAGUAAAAUAUCCAUCUAAUAUAAGACAGAGGAAAUAUAUCGCAAAAUUAAAAUUUAAUAAUUAUUUUUUAAAAAGAAAAAGAAAAAAAGAGAAGAGGGUAGAAUCUUAGCAUUAGAAAAUAGUCAAAAGUGUCGGUUGUAAUUUCAAUGAGAGGUGAAGGUUGGAGUCACAUGGACAAGUAUUUGUUGUGUAAAGGCUGCUCAAUUAUACAUAUAUUACUCCCUCCGUCCCAUUUUAUGUGAGGUAGUUUGACUCGGCACAAAGUUUUAAAAAAGAAAGGAAGACUUUUAAAAAUUUGUGGUCCAAAAUGAAUGAUAGAAAUUUGUAUGGCUGUAAAUCAUUUCAUUAAGGGUAAAAUAGACAUUUUAUAGUCAAAUUGUUACUUAAUAUAGAAAUGUGUCAUUCUUUUUUGGACUGACUAAAAAGGAAAGUAAGUCACAUAAACUGGAACAGAGGGAGUAAUAAAUAGGGAAUUAACACCUAACCAACACUUUGCCCCAAGACAUCUUGCUUGGCUUCAUGUUUUUUCGACACACAUUCGAAAUCGUGAAAAUUGUAUAAAAUAGUAAAUAUUUAAAUGAUAUUAAGUAUUAUAGCUAUUAUUUAGAAAAAUUGUAAUUCGCAGUUAUAGUUUUCUUCCAAAUCUUGCUAUUAGUUUAAUAUGUAUAAUUUGUCGGAUUGUAUAAAUUAGAAUUUUAUAUAAUUCGGUUCCUAAUUGUAUAAAUCUAAAAUUUGUAUAUACUUACCCUAACUAUUUGUAUACGAUUUAUGAAAAAAUUCACUAUAAAUUUCCAUGUUUGUAUAUAAACAAGCGAAAUAUACAAACGAAGUUCUGAAAAAUUCCUAAAUGUAUAAAUACAUAAUUUGUAUAUUCGCAAGCGAAAUAUACAAACCACAGUCUCCUUAGCAAAUGGAACUACAAGUAUGGAGCGUAAUUAUCGAAACUAUAGUUAUAAUAUAAAGCUUUAUUAUGACUAUUAUGUUUGCUAUUUCUGAAAUUUUUCCAUCUAUUUUUACUUGUUUAAUAUAUUAAAAAUAAUAAUUAUUUUAUUUAUUUAAUUUGAAACUUUUUUAGAGAUAAUUUAUUAUUUUGUGUCUAUUUUAUUCUUGCUAUUCGAUACUAUUCAUUUUUCAAUAUUUAGAUGACAAAUAAUUAAUAAGGGUCACAUAUAGUGAAUUAUUCAUUUUUUUUCUUCUUAAGGGUGUGUCAAGUCAAAUAUGAAUGAGUAAAAAUGGAAAGAAAGAGUAUAAAAUAUUACUUUCUCCAUUUUAAUUUGAAAUAUUACUCUUUUAAAAUAGAUUUGAUUUGAUGGCAUGUUUCAAGUAUAUUAUCAAAUAGCAGUACUAAGAGCCGUUUGGAUUGACUUAAAAAGUAGUUUUUGAGUCAAAAACAAAAAGUCAAGCUGAAAUGACUUUUAAGUAACCUACUUUUGAUUUUUGAUUUAUUUUAAGUCAUUUUUUAAAACAAAUUUAAUUUGAUUGAGUUUUAAGGUAAAUUAUCAAACAACAUUAUUAAAAUUUAUCAAAAUACUUUUUAAGUUUGUAAACUUAAACAUGUCAUAUGAAAAUUUGAAAUUUAAAAAUUGUUAUAAGAGAAAAAGAGUUAUUCUUUUUAAAAAAGAUUAAAACAGAAACAAACUCAAACAAAUUAAAACGAACGAAUACUUAACUUGUUAUAUACAGAAAUACUCUCUCCGUUUUUAUUUAUAUAUCAUCCUUAUUAAAAAUAGAUGUUUCGUAAUACCCUACUUGUCAUGUCACAAAAUCAAUAUAUAAAUGACAUUAUUUCUCCUAUUUUACUUCUAAGAGUUACUUAUUAGUCUUGAAAGUAUGAAUUUGACCAAUAUAAAAAAAACUAAAUAAUUAAUUCAUAUUCAUUAGUCAAUUUAAUUAAUUAAUAUGUUCAUUUAAUGAAAACUUGACUUCAAGAUAACACAAAAUAAGAAUACAAUACUCCAUCCGUUCCUAUUUAUACGACACCAUUUUUUAUUUCACGUGCAUUAAGAAAUUAAGUAAGUUUACUAUACUACCCUUAUUUAAAUUUUUUUUGAAGUCAACUUUUCAAUUAAUGAAUAUGAAUUAAUUUAAUUUGAUUAAUUAAUUUGACCAAUGAACAUGAAUUAUCCACUUAGUUUUUCUAUGUUGGUCAAAUGUAUAUUUUCAAGGCUAAUAACUCACAAAGAUAAAAUAAGAAGAAUAUUAUAAUUUAUGCAUUGAUUUUAUGAAAUAACAAGUAUUAUGAAUCAACUAUUUAUAGUAAGAAUGACAUAUAAAAAAAACGGAGAGAGCAAUAAUUUUACCUAAUUUCUUAAGAAAUGUGAAAUUUAAAAUAAUUGACAACUAGACAGAAAAGGAGAGAGUAUUAUUUAUUAAAAAGAAGUGUGGCUAAAAAGUUGGAAGAGUAUCGAGCCAAGAAAGUGUCAAACUCAUGUGAGAGUGAGACGCAACAUUUUGUUUUUAUUACCAUUUGAAAAAGAAACUUGCAUCUCGUGACUACCUAACUCUAUGGAGUAAAGGAUCAAAGUAAUCCUUGUGUUUUAACAUGGAGCACUAAUAGUCCUCCAUGUUUCAACAAUUGGUACACUUUUGAUACUUUUGCAAACAGCCGUCAAAAAUCUUAACGGUGCUUCUCUUUUUACACGUGAGAAAGGUUUCCCGCCAAAACUCACUUUUCCUUGUCUCUUCGUUUUCCUUGUUAAAACCAGACUUCUCUUCCCUUUUGCUUCAAAUCAAACCCUAUAAUCUCAAUUUUGUUCUGAAUUUCAUUAAAAGGUUGAUCCAUUUUGUGAAGCAACUAUGUUGUUAGGGAACAACAAUGAUAGAGAAUCAACUCCUACUUAUGGUGAGAAUUUUUUUCAUCUCUAGAUCAUUGUUAUUGCUUUUGAGAAUUAUCUAUUCUACAUUUGAAACAAAAACGUGGUAGGUUGAUUAUUAUAUCAUUGUUCUAGUACGGUUGCUCUUCAUGAUUGGAGUUAAAGUAAGUGUUUGUUCUUCUGCAUCAUCACUUUCUAGUCACAAUUUUUUCAUGAGAUGUUGUAAAAAUAAAAGAAAAGCUUGAUCAGACGUUCAACUGAAACUAUAUACCAUUAAAAACUAUGGGGAAUGGUUCAAUUUUUUCGAUCUUUAACCUGAUGUCUCGAUAAAAAAGUUUUUUUGUAGAAUACACUUUAACCUUCUUAUUGAUCCUGAAUCUAGAGAUUAGGAUAUUGAAUGGUUAGAUUCAAAAAAGAAACUACAAAGUAUUAAGUGGUAAGAAACUCAUGAUAGUCUUACUAUUCACAAAUAGUAUUAGGAUCAAUGGUGAAACAAAAAAAAAAUACUACAGAAAUCAGUCAGAGUGGCAGUGGCAAUGGCAAUAGAAUUUGGGUUGUAAGAAGUAAUAAAAUCCUCCUGCAUCUGCAAACGAACUGUCGAAUCUCAAUGCCGAUGGAGGCAUGGAGCUAGCUACGUUGCUAAAGGUCGUUAUAGCAACACAAGAUGGUGCACCUGGAAUGGAAUCUGUAGUGUCAUAGUUCACAAAGCUAGUGCACACCGAUAUCACUGUGAUCAGUGAUGCAUUCUUCAGUAGCUCCAGCUUCGUGAAUUAUUAAGGCGCCCCCAAAAAUCAUCAUUAUAUAUCUAUUGGAGAACCUUCAAGUUUAAGAGAAUGAUUUUACUUGAACAAAUUUAUCGAUUAUAAUUUUUUUAAAAGUAAAAAUCAAAUUCCCAAGAUCUCUGAUUUGAUAUACUAUUUUCUGUUUAUAUAAUUACAAGGAUUGAAUUUCUUUAUUUUGGAUGCAACAGUAUUAUAUUUGAUUAUUAAGUUGAAGCAUUUUCCAUUCGUUAGUUUGAUUUAUACUUUUGUAAACUACAACACCUUAUGUAAUAUAUGCUUGUUUUUUUUUAUUUCAGAUCCAGUACUCGAAGAUUCAUUGGUUAGUAUAAAAAUAUAUCAUUGGGGUGUCAUGAGACGUAUUCCAGACAAACAUUACAUAAAUGGCAGCAUAGACUAUAUUGAUUACAUUAAUGUGAACACGUUGAAUCUUCAGGAGUUUAAAAUGAUGGCGGAGAUUUGUGGAUAUGCAUUUAAUUUAAUAACCUUUUGGUACAAGUGUGGAAAGUAUGGUAAAAGAUGGAGACUGAUUUCUACCGAUUUUGAAGUCUAUGCAGUUAGCAAAAGUCUUCGAAAAGAGGAUGUGAAUGAGAUUUACUUCGAGCACUUGGACUCUUAUUUUAAAAUGGACAAUGGGAUUAUACCAUAUCAAGAAACCAUUGAAGAUAAUGACAAGGAACAACUUACACAUGAAAAUUCAUUUGGUGAUGAUUUUUGUAAUUUAGAGGCUGAUUUAUCUGACGACGAGUUAGUCAGUGGCCAUGAGAAGACAAAACAGAGUAUUCUGGGUGAAAUAGAGCCUCUUAGUGUUGGAGUAAAGAAAAAGAUGGCAGCUGUAGAUGGAGAUUCUAAUUGUUGUGAUUCUAGUGACACAAGAAGUUUGCAUAGUGAUUCUGAAACUGAGAGCUACAAUUAUCCUCAAUUUAAUCCAAAAAUUGAUGGAGAUAAUCCCAUAUUAGCUCUAGAGUUGACUUUUGGAAGCAAAAGAGAGUUCAAGGAUGCUGUAGCAACACAUGAGAUAAAAAAAGAAGAAGGAAAGUAUAUCAAGUGGAACAAGAAUGACAAAGAAAGAAUCAGGGCAAAAUGUAUACAUAAAGAGUGCAAAUGGAAAAUUAUGGCAUCCAAAAUGCAACGGGAUAAAUCUUUCCAGAUAAAAACAUACGAUCCUACACAUACUUGCAAAGAGUGGCACCAUGAAAAUAGAAUAAUCACACCAUCCUUCAUUGUGAGAAAAUACCUGAAUGAAAUUGGAUCAAAUAGAAAUGGUAGCUUGGCUGAUUUUAGAGAUAGAGUGAGUGUUGAUCUAAAAGCUAAAGUGACUUUAUCACAAGUUAAAAGACCAAAGAGGAAGGCCAUUUCGCUUCUUGAUGGUGAUAUCAAGGAUCAAUUCAAAAUGAUGUGGGACUAUUGUAAUAAAAUGGAUAGGACAAAUCCAGGAAGUACUAUUCGUAUGAAGUUCACUGAUAAUGAGGUUCCUGGACAACCAUACAGAUUUCAGAGAAUGUACAUUUGUUUUGCUGCUUGCAAGUUCGGUUUCAAGGCUGGUUGUAGAAAAAUAAUAGGAGUGGAUGGUUGUUGGUUGAAGGGUCCAUUGUACGAAACUCAAUUGUUAUUUGCAGUUGGAAUUGAUGGUAACAAUAAUAUAUUUCCCAUUUUCCCACGCCAUUGUUGAGAGAGAAAAUAAAGAGACAUGGACUUGGUUCUUGACUUAUUUGGCUAGCGAUUUGGAUAUACAUGAGGAUGAGGCUAGUUGGACCUUUAUGUCCGACAAACAAAAAGGUCUCAUUGAAGCUUUUAAUGAUAUUUUACCACAUGUUAGUCAUAGAUUUUGUGUGAGACACCUUCAUAACAACUUUUAAAGGGCAGGUUUUGGUAGCUUCUCAUUAAAAAAGGCACUUUGGGUUGCUGCAAAGGCUACUACUACGCAACAAUUUAUCGUAUGCAUGAAUCAUAUGUUUGAGUUAGAUCCAAAUGUUGCUGCUUGGUGUAAUUGAAAAGAACCUAGUCAAUGGACAAUGACUUAUUUCUCCUCAGAUGCUAAAUCUGACAUGUUGUGGAAUAACGUGUGUGAAGUAUACAAUAGCAUGAUACUUGAUGCUAGAGACGAGCCAAUUUUGACACUUUUGGAGAAAUUGAGAUAUCUACUCAUGGCUAGAAUGCUAGCUAACAGGGAGAAAGUAGAACAAUGGAAUCUAGGUGAUGUUUGUCCCAAGAUUAAAGAUAUAUUGCGUAAAAAUCAAAAGGCAGCCGGAGAACAUAUUCCUAGAAAGUCAAAUCAAUGGAACUAUGAAAUUAUAGGGGCUAGUAUCAUGGAUAAUUGGGCAAUGGACUUGGAGAAGAGAACAUGUAGUUGUAGAAAAUGGAGUCUCACUGGAAUCCCUUGCAAGCACGCAAUUGCAGCUAUUUGGGCUAAUCGAGAAGACACUCUUGAUUAUGUCCAUGAUUCCUACAAGGUGGAAACGUACUGAAAAAUAUAUGAGAAUGCAAUUUUUCCGAUGAAUGGUCCGCAAAUGUGGCCAAAAUCUAACAAACUUCCUCCAUUGCCUCCAAGGAGUUUGACAAGUACAAAGAGAGGAAGAAAGCAGAAGAAGACAAGAAAAGAAGCUGAUGAAGUAGGAGCAAGUCGAACAACAAUGAAAAGGAAACAAAAAUCUCUAGAUUGUAGUACUUGCCACAAGUCUGGUCACAACAAAAGGACUUGCAAACUAAAGAUGUGCAGCCUGAAACUACUUCUUCUGUUCGUGAUAAACUACCUGUGCUAUCUUUUAACAUCAUUUUUGAAUUAUUUCAUCAUUUAAUUAUCUUUAGCUAAUAUAAAGUAUAUAUAAAUAUUUAUAUAUAUUGUGCUUUCAGGGUAGAUGGAGAUGUUCGGAAGUUCAACAAGAAAAUAUGAAACAUAGAGAAGUAGGACAAUGAGAAGAAAUGAAUUUUUCUUGGGAAAAUUCACAACAAACCCAACAAAGUGGAGUUACAUUAUAAGAAAAUACUAAUUUUUCGGGUAAAAAAAUGGAUCAUUGUGUGCUUUUACAUGUUUAAAACUAUAUUUUGCUAUUGGUUUUUCAAUUUCUUUUCUUUUUUUGGUGUAGUUUCUGCGCGAAUCUGGUGCUGUUUGGUGCAAUUUUUGUGUUGUUUUAGUGCGAAUAUGGUGCUGCUAUUUUGGUUUAAUUUUGGAGUCUGUGUUUGGAGCUUUUCUCGUGCAGUUUUGGAGUUGUUUUGUUGUUGUUACGGUGAUUUUCUGUUGCUGUUUUUGGUGCAGUUCUAGUGCUUUCUGGUGGUGGUGUUGAUGCAAGUUUAAUACUAAUUUAGAGGCUAUUGUUAGGCUGCUGUUUUGGUGUAAUUCAAAUGUUGUUUUGAUACUUUUCUGGUGUAAUUUUGGAUCUUUUCUGCUGCUAUGUUGGUGCAACCAUAAUGUUGUAUUAGUGUGAAUUUCGUCCAGCUAUUUUGGUUCAUUGUCAGUACUAUUUUAGGUGCAAUUCUAAUGUUUAUUUUGAUUGAACUUUUGGAGCUUAUUUUGACGCAUUGUUGGUGCUCUGCUGCGGUUUUGGUAAAGGUUUACUAAAAAUUUUUAGUGUUGUUCGUUCUAGUACAAAUUUAAUGUAGUUUUGCACCAUCAACACAUAUAAUAUCAAAAAUUUCAAGCCAACUUCUCAAUAAAUUGAAGCCAAACAUACAUAACGUAUCAAAUCCAUUACAUCGCAAAAAUAAAAAGAUACAUUUUCCUAUACUACGAGAAAAACAUAUGCUUUUUCGAGCUUACUAAUUACAUUGCAAACAAGAAAAGAUAAAAUAUUGAAUUUUUCCUAAUCAUUUUCUCUUCAACUUCCAGGCUUUUCUAAAUUCUCGCGUGCUUCUUCGAGCUUACUAAUAUUUAGAAUGUAUUCGUCAUAAUUGGAACAAGUAGAAUGGACCAAAGCUAAAUUAUCACUAGGACAAUUGAUCGAGCACCUCGUGUGCAAGAAACUUGCUUGCAGAUAAACAAGACACCAAUAUGCAUAGCACCCUCCUCGAGUUUAAACAAUCUAUCACAGAGGACAUAGAAGAAGCUCGAUGACCAUAAAAACUGAUUUUACUCUUACUCUUGUCGCAGACUUCCAUUGAAGGGAGAUACAUUCUUCAAAAACAACAGAUGCAACUGAAUAAGUUUUACUUCUCCAAAUAUCAGUCUUUAUUUUGAUCUUAUUUGUUUCAUAGGGGAAUCAAAGUUAUGGAAUUAUGGAUAUCUGAAGGAAAAGAAAGAGAAGAUUUAGUUGGCAAUGGUGGAAACUUUUCUUACGUGUAAAAAAAAGCACUGUUAGAUUUUUUGUCACUCCCCGAGCCUACACCCUGGACGUGGCCGGCACUCGAAGACCAUUGCUGGCCCCAAGUGAACCCUUGGCCUGGCUUACUUAACUCAGCGGAAGACUUAACUCAACAAAAUAAACUCAAGUAAUAGUUUAAAUGAUAGCAUCUUAGCCAAAAUGACAACUUAUCUCAAAACAAAGUAUCUUCAAAUACAUAGCUGAGAGACUCAAAACUAACUGUCUGACUGUCUAUGAAGCCUCUAUAAUACUGAGAUGGGUGUUGGGACAGAACCCACAACAUCCUAAUAAAGAAAACUAGGAAAGCGAAAUAAAAGAGUCCUUCGGAAUGCAAGGAGGCUCACCACUUACUCUUUAUACUUUGUCGUAAUAUAGAACACUUAACUUAGUGGAUCCACUAGUCUAUGCUAAAAGCAUCUUAAGGAAUCAUCUAAAAAGUAUGAUCUUUUACUACCCAUUAUGGCUACAUGGUUUAUGGAGACUUGAGUUGAUAUGAACUCGCAUCCCCAUAUCGGUGCACAAUACUACUCCCAAAAUAUACUUAGCUCAUAUGUUUGUAAAAACAAAACUCUUUCUUUGAAUUGAGAUAAUUACUCAAAACUUAGCUUAAAAGCUCUUUUGGAAUCGAUGUUCCCGUUUUUGCUCAAAUGUGAAAACAUUUAUAAACUCUUUGGGAAUACUUAGUCCCCUUAUAGCUUUUUGAGAAAUGAACUCAACUCUCUACUUUUUGCUUAACUUGAAACUUGAGCCUUAAAACGAAGUUAAAACGUUUGUUAAAGACUCUUGAAAACUUUAAGAAACUUGGCUUUGACUUGCUUCAUAACUUCUAGACUUUGACUCUUAACUUCUUUGACUUUGAUCUUAACUUUCCUUGAAUUGGAUUAUGGAUUCAAGGUUCAUGAUCUCAUGUUUAUGGAUGAUUUCAUGAUGUUUAGAUGUACCUUAGAGUGUUGGAAACAACUAAAAAACAUAGGUACAUUGCUUAGGAACAAGUACGAAAAGGUGGGAAACGAAUUGAGAGAACUGGUGUCCCUGGCGCUCUGAGAGGCACGGGGCGCCAGCCCUCAAACUUCAGAGGACUCUGGCUGGCGCAAUGCGCCAGAGGCCAAAGUGCAAAGGAACUUUUGUUGCGCUCUGGCAGGCGUGACACCCCAAACCCUUGCCUAGAAAAUCCCCGAUUUUUUUCUUCGUUUUUCAUCUCUAAACCCUCCAAUCUUCCCUAGUUCUUUCCCCAAACACUUAGGAUCAAUUGUACCCUCAAUACACCAUCGAUCUAACUCGAAAAACUGCCCGGAAACAUGAAUCAAAUCAACCCCCAAGCAUUAACAAUUCAACCAACAAGAAUUCUACAAUGUUCUUCAGGAACUUCACUUUCUUAACAUUCAAACAACUCUAAAUUUGCUGAAUUGAAACCAAUUAGUGUGUGGGUGAACUAACCCAACACGAAAGAAAUCUCACAUACCUUAAUAGGGAUCACCCUCGACGAAUUCCACUCCAAACGCUUGACGUUCUUGGCGAAAUUUUAGCUUUUCUCCCUUUCUUUCUUCCUUUCUCUUUUCUCCAAGCCCUAAGCGUUCUUUAAUUCUCCAAAACUGAUUUAGGUUCUGUUUUUACCCUAAUAAACCCUUAAAAACGAAUUAGGAAGUAAAUUAGAGAAAAGACUACUUUGCCCUUCCCUAAAUCCGAAUUGGGACUUUCCUCAAUCCAACAGCCCAACUUCCGAAAGGCAUAACUCACUCAUACGAUGUUGAAAUUGUGCAAACUCGGCGGCGUUGGAAAGAUCUCUCCAAGGGUUUUCCAACCAUAUCAAGAUCUGCUCCUAAAUAUUCCUGAGCUAGGAGUUAUGGUUGUUUGAAAAUGGCCAAAACUCACUUUCUUAACUUAGACAAAAUUUCCAGAUUUCCUUAUUCUUUCCAAAAAUCAAUAUUUUCAUAUUUUAAGCUCUUUAUAGUCGUUUCUAGGUGUGAGAUGUUACAUUUUUGACGGUUGUUUGCAAGAGUAUAAAAAAUGUACCAAUUGUUGAAACAUGGAGAACUAUUAGUGCUCCAUGUUAAAACACAAGAAUGACAUAUAAAAAAAACGGAGAGAGUAAUAAUUUUACCUAAUUUCUUAAGAAAUGUGAAAUUUAAAAUAAUUGACAACUAGACAGAAAAGGAGAGAGUAUUAUUUAUAAAAAAAGUGUGGCUAAAAAGUUGGAAGAGUAUCGAGCCAAGAAAGGGUCAAACUCAUCUGAGAGUGAGACGCAUCAUUUUGUUUUUAUUACCAUUUGAAAAAGAAACUUGCAUCUCUCGUGACUACCUAACUCUAUGAAAUGAAAUUAAAUUAAAUGUAAUCUCAUUUGGCUCAAUUAAUUUAAAGAGGAUUUUAAAUGGUAUAGUCACCCACCAAAUAUCAAUUAUUUUCGAAAUGAAAUUUAUAGCCAAACAAAACAAAAAAUAAAUUCAAAUACAUUAUUUUAAACUUAAAAAAAACAGAGUGUUUUUUUUCUUUUUCUUCAAAUACCAACCUAAUUAAGGGCCCGUUUGGCCAUGCGAUAUGGUAUCAUGAUAUGGAAUCAUGAGAUGAAAUUGAAGGUUUGUUUGGACAUGCAAUAUAGAAUUUUUGUGUUGUGUAUUUUCUUAUAAACAUAAAAAUCUCAUAAGUUGUAAAACUAUUAAAAUAGCCCCAAUUGUUUAUUCAAUCUUAUCAAAUAAACAAAAAAUUAUAAAAUCGCAUAAUAAAUUAUUACAAAGUUAUUUGUCCUUCACUUAAGUAAUUGUUUCAUCUAACUUUAAUUUAAUUUUAAAAAUUGAACAUAAAUUGUACUUGAUAUGCUCAUAUCUCUCAACUACUCUUNNNNNNNNNNNNNNNNNNNNNNNNNNNNNNNNNNNNNNNNNNNNNNNNNNNNNNNNNNNNNNNNCACUUAUUAAGGCCAUAAAAUAAAUUUAUUAAUGUGAUUGAAAUUUUACCUUAAACCAAGGCCAAAAUCGAGUAUUAAGUCGAUAUUUUUUGGUUGUAUAAAUGUUGGUGCCAUCUUGCUAAUUGCCUUGGCAACUAUUUUAACAUGCUAGUUAAUUGUUUCAAGUGAAUGUUGGAAAGUUUGACAAUCAUGAGGUGUGAGUUAAAGUGACUAUAUGUUAGUGAGAAUAAUAAAUUUUUAUGUCGGUGAGAAUAAUAGAUUUUAAAAAGUAAUGAUGUGAUUAUAAAUUUUAUUUACAUAUGAAACAAAUGGUUAAUAGAUAUAAAUGUGGGGUUGUUUUAACAAAAUAUAAACUCAUAGAUCAAUUAUUGUAUUAAAAUAUCUCAAAUCAUGAUAUGGAAUCACCAUAUAAUUUCAUAUCAUGAUUUUUAGAGAAUAUGAUAGCACCUCUCAUGAUAUGGAAUCAUGAGAUGGAAUCAGCGUAAAAUCGCAUGUCCAAACGCUGAUUCCAUCUCACGAUACCAUAUCACGAUAUGGUAUCGCAUGGCCAAACGCCUACUAAAUAUAGCCCAAACACCAAAUCAUCCUCUUAUUUAGCUUAAUAAUUCUCUCUUCUUCACAACAAGGAAGAUACAACAACAUACCUAAUGAGGUCCGAUAAAUGAGUCUAGAGGAGGAUAAAAUACGCAGAUUUUAUCACUGUCUCACAUCACGACAAGAAAAGAAUCCAAUUAAACGACACAGUUGAAUUUGGCCAACAUAUCUGGAACAAGAACUUCAGUAAUACGACGAUGAGCUUCAUCUGUCAAAUGAAUUCCAUCCCAAUGAACAUACUGUGCUGGAUUCGAACAAGCAUUAAUCCCAGCUGCUCCACACACAGUCCUGGAGUUAAAAUUAUGUUUCCCUCCAGUUCCACAACACGCACUCAGCAAUGUAUUUUGAUUAAACUCAAACGAAGAAGGGUUACAAAUAAGUGACAAAAUUACACCGUAAAAAUCACCAUAAACAAUGCUAACAUUUGGGAAUUCACGUUGUAGAUUUGCAAUAGCCCUAACCACGUAUCGAUUAUGAUACGAAGCGAAAUCAUUGAAGUUCCUCAAGCAUCCUAAUUGAUCGUAACCACUCGUAUUGUUAUCAGGGAAUGAGGUGAGGUACACUGGGAGGCAUCCGAGAGGCUAAAUACUCGGAACCAACACUCGUGUUGCUCCGAGCUGAAUCACCUCUUUGAUGCCUCUCAUAAUCUCUGCAACAACAAACGGAACGUAAGUUCUAACUUCUGUGAUUUGCUUUCUCUGGGAGAAACAAUUGUAGUAAUCGUUUCCUCCCCAUUCCCCCAUUAUUACUAUCGACUUUUUCAAAUUCUCCGCACAUCUCGAACCACAAGUCGAUUGGAGAUGUCUUUUGAACCAAUUCAAUUGAUUUGAAAGCGGACUGUUCCAUGUGGGUAACUGGAUGUUACGUGCAGUCCAGAAGGAUGUAUCGAGGAUGGUAGCUCCGGCGACGGCGAAAUUUACUCCUUGAGUGAAAGAUGCGCCUCUGUCUAAAUAAGCAUUGAGGAAUGACAGUUUGAAUGAUUGAGAAAUGAAAUCGGUGAUAAGGCGGCCGUUGGAGAAGCGGCCGGUGGGUCUUCUGAAGAAAGUUUCGCCGUAAGGGGAACGGUCGGCGCGGAAGAUGAUGGAAGCGCCGGGAAUACGGAUGAGAUUUCCGGUGUCGGCGAGGGAGUCGCCG
rnacentral:lncRNA from 1 species